rnacentral:lncRNA from 1 species
CCACGGAGCCGUCGGAAGCAAAUUAUGAAUAUUGUUGGUGGAAAUGGUGAAAAGACUAAAAAAUGAAGGAAUGGAAUGGAUAGACAGGGACGCCACACUUUCUAAUCCAAGAAAGUGAUAAGUCUAUGGAUGCGAGGAUCGCCAUAAGAAAUAUGAUUUCUUGAUAAGAUCAAGGAUGGUUCAAUCCAGAACCACAAGAGACAAAGCUCUCAAUACACAUAUGUGUAAAAUUCUAUAAUAUUCAACCUCUUUUUCAUAUCAUUUUCGUGCUCUAUUUAUAUGAGCUUAUUACAUGAUGAUUUUGACUCUAAAACUCUUAGAAAAUGAAAGAAAAUGCAACCACUAAUUACAAUAAUGUUUUGGUGGCUGAUUAAUGCAAAUAAAAUGUUACAAAAUGACUCUCUAAGUUGGUGGCUAAUCAAUGCAUGAGGAGGUUACAUAUUCAUUUGCACAUUGAUUUGUGAAGGCUAAUUAUUUCUAGACGUUACAAUUCCACAAACACCUUUAAUUCUUCAGCUUACACACUUUAACCACGUUUUCAACUUACAACUCAUUUUACACCAUUAAAUAUUUCGAAUUUGAUCUUGAGUCAAACAGAUGAAAUGUAGAGAAUUUCGUAAGCUUUCCAACGAGUUAAAGAUCACCUCAAACGGACAUCCAGAGCUCCAGAUAUAGCCAAAACAAGACAGACAUAUCAUGACCUACGAAAAUAAAACUUUGAACCCAAAAUUAAUUUGGUUCUUUUAUUCCACAAUGACUUUAUUAUUCUUGUCAAGAGAGAUAAUUUUAGGAUCACAUCAUACUCUCCCUCUUCAAGAGAAUUCGACCUCGAAUUUAUAGCUUGAAUACCUCCUGGGUCAAAAAUAAAUCUAUGGAAUCCAUCACAUGUAACUUUAACUUUAGAGAGCUCUUCACUUUUAUUGGAAGAAUUAGUUUUCUUUUCAUCCACUUUUGAUUUAUGGACAUGAUCAUCGUUCCAAAUCACAUAAUUUUCUUCCACCUGUUGAGAAAAAGUUUCUUCAUUCUCUUUGUUUCCUUCAUGACAUAAAGAAAUGUUAGGCAAUUGAAUAAUAUUAGAAGAAGAAUCCCAACAUUUAAAAACACAAACCAACUUAGAAGAAGGUACUAGUGUAAUAGUAGGCCAAAACUUCCCAACAUUAUUCUCUUUACUAUCCUUCUCAUUCUCCUUUUCUUCUCCUUUUUCCUCUACUUCUUUUUCGUCACUUUCUUUUGUCUCUUCUCUUUCCUUUUCACAUUCUUCUUCGUGAGUUUCCUUUACAAUGAGACUCUUUUUUUCUUCAAUAUUUAUUUUAGGCUCUAUAUAAUGAUUUUGGAUUUGAAAGAGAUUUUCCUCUAGUAUUUUAGAGAUAUCAGCCAUUCCUCUAUCAAUUAUUGCCAUCAUUUUCUCUCUCCUAUUUCUUUGUAACUCUUUAAGAGGAGAAGAAGGACUUGAUCUCCUCUUGAUAUCCUCAAGCAUUUUCUCUCUCCAUACUUUAUCAAAAUAUUCUAUUGAAGCUUGGAUUUCUUGAGACAUUUUUUUUUUCUUUCAAACUUUGAUGUAGAACAACAAAAAUCAAAUAAAUUAAAAGGAUAGAAAACACCUGAUUUGAACCUAAGCUCUGAUUACCAAAUGAUGAGUGCUACGGAGCCGUCGGAAGCAAAUUAUGAAUAUUGUUGGUGGAAAUGGUGAGAAGACUAAAAGAUGAAGAAAUGGAAUGGAUAGACAGGGACGCCACACUUUCUAAUCCAAGAAAGUGAUAAGUCUAUGGAUGCGAGGAUCGCCACAAGAAAUAUGAUUUCUUGAUAAGAUCAAGGAUGGUUCAAUCCAGAACCACAAGAGACAAAGCUCUCAAUACACAUAUGUGUAAAAUUCUAUAAUAUUCAACCUCUUUUUCAUAUCAUUUUCGUGCUCUAUUUAUAUGAGCUUAUUACAUGAUGAUUUUGACUCUAAAACUCUUAGAAAAUGAAAGGAAAUGCAACCACUAAUUACAAUAAUGUUUUGGUGGCUGAUUAAUGCAAAUGAAAUGUUACAAAAUGACUCUCUAAGUUGGUGGCUAAUCAAUGCAUGAGGAGGUUACAUAUUCAUUUGCACAUUGAUUUGUGAAGGCUAAUUAUUUCUAGACGUUACAAUUCCACAAACACCUUUAAUUCUUCAGCUUACACACUUUAACCACGUUUUCAACUUACAACUCAUUUUACACCAUUAAAUAUUUCGAAUUUGAUCUUGAGUCAAACAGAUGAAAUGUAGAGAAUUUCGUAAGCUUUCCAACGAGUUAAAGAUCACCUCAAACGGACAUCCAGAGCUCCAGAUAUAGCCAAAACAAGACAGACAUAUCAUGACCUACGAAAAUAAAACUUUGAACCCAAAAUUAAUUUGGUUCUUUUAUUCCACAAUGACUUUAUUAUUCUUGUCAAGAGAGAUAAUUUUAGGAUCACAUCAUCUCUUCUCCCUCCUUUAGCUUGUGUUGACAAGCUAUUCUUUUCUUCUUCCUCUUUUUCUGUCCCGUCGGAUUUCAAGAAUGUUCUUAAGACCAUAGUCCCUUUGAGAUAUAAUGUCCAUUCAAAAUUAAGGAUGGUCUUAAGAGCAUAGUCCCUUCGGUAAAUUUUGUCCCUUUGGAAAUAAGAGUAUUUUUAAGAUCAUAGUCCCUUUUGAGAUAAAGUGUCCCUUCGAAAAAUAAGAAUGAUCUUAAGAAUAUAGUCCCUUUUUAUGUUUUAUGCCUUUGGAGAAGUUAGAGGUUAGAGUGGUGGAAACACCAUAUUAGAGUGGUCCUAGUACCAUAUAAGAGUGGUCUUAGUACAUAAUAGAGUGGUAUCAAUACCAAAUUGGAGUGGUCUUCGUACCAUAUUUGAAGGUGUAUUUCUAGAACAUAUCCUAUAGUGCAAUGAGACUCUGAUACAAUUGUAGUUGUGCUGUUUUAUCCUGGGAGCGUCGUGGUUGAUAGUCUGUUUGCACAAUUUUGGGAAGUGUCACGAAACGUUUUAAAGAGAGCAACCUAGUCUGCGAUUCAGCCUAGUAGACUCUUCGGUGACAUACAAUAUUUUUUUAACUAAUUUUGACUAUUGUUCCAACAGUUUCUCAUCCGCUCAUCAUGAUGCUACAAAGUAUGGAAUGAUAAUCUAUAAUUGUAGAACUAUCUUCGGCUAAUAUUAUGUAAACUCUAAUGUUGAGUUUGUGAAAAGACAAACAAAUAAGAUCGUUUAUAGAUUAGCUAGCUAAGACAACCGCAUCCUUAACUAAUUUUGAGGUAUUGAUAGAUAUACCAGAUUAUAUUGAACUCAUUUUAGAUAAUGAAUUGCUAUAAUCUAUUUUCUUUCAAAUAUAUUUAGGAACAUGGGUAGCUUAUAUAUACAUAAGAAAUAUCACCAAAGAAAACAAUGCACACAUAAAAAGGUAUAAAAGAGAGAUUGAAAAGGCUGUUACCAGCCAUGCAUCCACCUAGAAGUGAAGCUUAUACCGACAAAAUUCAUGUCAAAGAAAGAAACCACGUUCCCCACACGUACUAUGCUCCUUUCCCUAAUUCUUAGGAGGCACGAUCAUUCACGUAUAUGCAAUAGAAUACAAGAAUAUACUAUUUGAACUUAAAGACUAAAUGUAUGGAUAAUGUAACUUUUUUACACCUAGCUUUAAUUAUAUUUCAUCUUAAUAUUUUCCUUCCAACACUCCUUCUAUCAUUAAGUUAAAUCAACGUGGAUCCUACCAUUUAUAUGUGAUUUACAUUAAUCGAUAAAUAUGGUUUAUAAUAAUAUUUCAGAUGUAUGAGUUAUUCAACAUUUCAGAUGCAUCAGUUAUUCAACGAACUUAAUGAAUAUUUUUGUGAUAGUAAGAUGCCGAGUAGUUAUUUCUAAUGUAAAAAAUGGCAGUAUAGUCCUGUGAGCAUAGCUCAGCUGGUAUGGCAAUGAAUUAUUGUAUGUAGGAGCCGGAGUUCGAACCCCGAACAGCCCACUUAUUCACCUUAUAAGGUGAAUUAUAGCCACUAGGCUACCUGAUAAAAUAAAAAUAUGGCAGUGUAGUUAAACAUUUGAAAGCAUGGAAUAAGGGAUAUUUACUAGUUGAAAAAAAAAAUAUAACAUUUGAAUUAGAGUUGAUUUAAAAAAUGACAUGUAAGCCCAUCAUCAACUACCACAUGUUACAAUAACUACGUGUUUUCUUCACUUAUAAAAGCACUUUUCAUUUUGUGAAAUCCUAAGAGUUAUCAACUUAUCAUUACUAUUAAGAAAAGGAAAGAGUUUGAUUAAAGAUACAAACCAAAACCAAAGCCACAUUUUCUUCCUUUCAAAACAAUCACACAAAAAGCUUUGGCCUUAAUUCAAAUUCUAUACUCUUUCUUUCCAUUCAUUUUUAUUCAUGGAAUCCUCAAAUUGGGUUCUAAAACAUGUAUUCAUUUUACUCUUUUUCUUCCUUAGUAACCCUUCAAUGUCUUCAACUUUCCCUUCCUCAACUUUGGACCUUACCGUUACACACACUAAAGCCUUACACCAAAAUUUUACUGCAUUAUCAGAUUUUAGGUUGAUAAAUAGAAGAAUUUUGAAUGAUUGUUCUCAUUUAAGUCCUUAUCUUAAACUGAAUAUCACCUCAAAUUCUAAAUUGUUGGAUGAGGAGUUUGUCACGGUUACCGUCACCGGCGUUUCGAAGCCGAGAGAUGGAGAUUGGGUGGCUAUGAUCUCACCUUCAAAUUCCAAGUAAGAAUAUUACAUUGAUGAUGAAAAUGAAUGUUAGUUAAAACCAUUGCUAUAAUGUUAAUUAAUUCCAAAUUAUAUGAACUAUGAAAUUGGAUUUAAUUUAUUCUUUUAAUUGAUUAUAUGAAGUGUUAAAGCUUGUCUUCUCAAUGAGUUCUAUUAUCUACAAACUGGUGAUACUGCAAAACUUCCUCUACUUUGCCAUUACCCUGUCAAGGUAUGUCAUGCACACAAUACAUACUUUGAAAUUUUUAUAUUUUUUAUUUAUUCUUUCUUUUUCCCUUUGAGAUUAAUGAUAUGGGUUCUUUAUUUUAAAAAAGUAUAUUAAUUUAUUAAGACAUGUUUGCGUAAUAUCCAUAGCCUAUAAUGUCUUUCAAAUUAUUAUUUUUUUUGGUGAAAAUUCUCUUUCAAAUUCUUGAACAAAAUAAGUAAAUAUAAACAUGAUAUUGAUGGUUUCUAGCAAUAGCAUGGCUCAUAAAUAGCUUGUUUGGCAAAUUAUUGAUUGGUUUGCAAUCCAUUUUCAACCACCUUAUCUUCGAGGUUAAUUCCCACCACAACCUUUGGAUGUUUGUUGAUAUUUUUAUAUCAUAAUUUCAAGAAAAUAAAUGGAAAGUCAUUUCCAUUAUUUUGUAUUAUCAAGGUUUUAUGCUAGUUUGUAUUCUCACAACUUAGCAAGCUAUAGUUGUGAUCAAUAUUGGAAAAAGUACUUAUAUUUAGGGUCACACCUACCUCGAACGAAAUUAUCUUUUUGUUUGUGUCUGAAGUUCGAAUCUCGGAUCUUAUAUAUAUUAUGUAUUAUUCUUAGCAACUGAGUUAAGUUCACGGAGACAACUCGAAUGAAAUUAUCUACAAUAGAGUGACGGAGCUGAUGAAAAACCCCAAAAUAUUAAUUAAAUUUGCUUAAUUAGAAACUCUUUUACUAUUUAGAAAAAAACUUUAUUGAUUUUUUUUUAUAUUUUGUUGGUGAUUAGCAUGAUAUCAAACAUCAAGUUAUCAACCAAGUUGUCACCUUCAAUAUACAUAAAUAUUAUGAAAACAAUAGUUGUGUUGGCAUUAAUGAGAACCUUAACAUUCUUAUAUUUAGUCCAAAAAUUUAAACUCGGGGAGGCUUCAUUUAGAGGUUGAUCAUGUUAUCAACAUUUAUUAAGAAUAUUGCUCUUGUCAAUUUUAAAAACCUAUUUAAUUAAAUGCUGAAAUUAUAUAUGAUGCAUAGGAAAUGUUAACCGGUGUUCCCGGGGCACUGGUUAAGGAUGCUAAAAGAAAAUUAUAUAAUAGUUAUUGCAUUGAAAACUAUGUAAUUAAUACUAAAAAAAGUAAAAAAAAAGUUUCCUUUUAUAAAAAUAAUUAUCUUUUUUGACAUGCUUAACGAUUACCCCGAAUACCGGUUAGCAUGACUCUAUAUGCAAAAGUCAACUGCCCAUAAUUCAUUCAUACUACUAAAUUAGCAUUUAAUUGGUCGUUGGUGCCACAUUGCCUUCCUCCAACUAUAUGUUCAUACACGCUUGCUUUUUGUUCAUGUGCAUCUUGUGAUUGAGAGUAUUGCUUAUCAUCAAAGGUUUAAAGUGGACCAUUUAAAAAUAGUAUGAGUCUAAAUUUAACCAUAUUAAAACGAAGUUUUCAUCGUCAUAUAACAGGGAAUAAUCACCGUCAGAAAACCGAAUAUAUGGGGCACAGAUGAUACCUUCUUAGUUCCUCCAAUCAAAUAAUUUUUAUAUACAUGAGUCGGAAAUUAACCUUCUAAUCAUAUGUUUAAGGGGCUCUAAUUCUUUACCCACAUGAACCAAUCCAUUGUCAAUUUAUAUUUAACUUUUUUAAAUGUCUAUAUUAUUUCCUUCACAAAAAAAAUAUCUAUAUUAUUAGCUACAUAACUUGCACGGACACCUUUUGAAGUUUAAACUCUAUCAACCGAUUAAAAUUCACGAAGUAUACGCAUGGAUUAUUUAUUAAUUUAGUUCGUUCAAUUUUACAUUAACAAUCAAUAUAUUAAUUUAAAAAUAACCAACAAUAAUAUGUGUAACUACAUGUCUUUAUCAAUGGAGGGACUCUGUAUCCCUCAAUAUCCACACAUCUGGUUGAAAUAAUUGCCUCUUAUUGCAUAAAGAAAAUAUAGUUACAUAUGGUUUAGAAUCAACAUUAUUAACAUAUGUAUUCAUCCCAAAACGUCAAAAUCAUACAUAAAUGCAUAUUACGUGUUCUCUUUUAAUUCCUUGGACCAUCUACAACAGAGCACCUCGAUUUAAGUGCUUAAACGGGACCUUUUUAUCCACAUCAUUCAUUUUACAAUAGUAUUUAAUAAACAUCAAUUUUCUCUAACCCAGUACCACAAAAUAAAUUAUUAAAUAGGUCCCACAAAUAAUUCAAUAUCAUUAUAUUUCAACAAAAAUAUAUUUAUUUCAUUAUGAUUUAUUAAAUGGGGUUCACAAAAAGUGUAGAGAGAGAGGAUGCUUCCAUAGCCACCCUUCUCUAGAGACAUCAAAAUAUUAUACUCCAUAAUGGAGGUGCCUAUUUAAUAUGAUGCUAAAUAGGUGAAGCAUCCACUAUUAUGGAUGGUCUUAUGUGACGAAUUACGAUCUCAAUAGCACAACCAUUUAAGCCUUAAUUUUUUUUUAAUCAUAUUUUUCGUAUAUAGAUCUAUUAAAUAUUUAAUACUAUUUUUCUGCAAAAGAAAAUAUUAUAUAUGUUUUUUCAGUAUCUAUUUUUAUAUCUUUGUUCUUUGAUAAUACAUAAACAUUUAUUUUACAUCAUCAUAUAUUUAUUUUCAUGUGUAAACACAAAGAAUGAGAUAUAUUACCUGUCAUAGUAGGGACAUGGACAUUAAAGCCAAAAAUAUAUGCUCUCUUGACGUAAUUGUCAAAGUUUACGUUCACGCAAUAUUUUAUCCAUUUUGAGAUCAAAACAAUGUUUCGUGGCAUUCCUAUAAGAUGUUUUGGUUAAGGUGAAAUAAAGGUAUAUUCCUAUUUGCCUAGGAAUAUAAAUUUAUAAAAUGUUUAAUUUAUGUAUAAAGAGAUUUUACACUAUCAAAUCCAACAAAAGAUUUUACACUAUCAAUCAAUUGCAACCAUGAGAUAAUUUAAAAUGUUUGAGUAUACCAUACCUAUUUCUAAAAUCACAUUUGUAAUUGCUUAUAAUGUGUUGAGAGUAUAAAACUUUUUAUGCCGAAACUAUAUAAAAAAUAAACUUAUUUUUGAAUAGAAAAUGGGCUCUAAUAUUUCAACUUCGUGAAAAUGAAAAAAUGCUCCCAAUUCUCAAUACAUCUUUUAAUAUUUGAUUUUAAAAGAUAUUUGAUUAAACUCCCAUAACAUAAGGGGUACCGCAAAGAGUUAAAAAAGGACACAAUACAAGCGUCGCUAAAAUUCUAAAGUAGAAGAAAACAAAAUAUUAUAAAGUAGUGUAACCAAGACAAACCAAAGGGUCGGACCAUGACUUCUGAAUUUUUUAUUUUAAGUAAAAGAGUUUAUCACAAGAUAACUAAUUAUGUGUCAAGAAAUUAAGAUGAUAUUAAAAGAGUUGACCUAUAUGAAAAAUAACAAUAAUUUGAAAAGGUUAAAUAUAUUUUUUAGUCCCUACAAAAUCACGAGUUAUUAAGUUUAGUUCUUAUAAAAUUUUAAUGGUAAUUUUAAUCCUCUAAAAUAUUAUAGUUUGUGAUAAUAGUCCCUAUUUUGAAAACUUUUUACAAAAAUGUAUACUUUAGUCCUCCAAAAUAGUCCUUAUAAAAUAUAAAUAGGGACUAAAAAUGAAUAAAAUUUUUGUAGGGACUAAACUUAAAAGUUUGUAAUUUUGUAGUGACUAAAAACAUAUUUAACCCAUAAAACUAUAUUAGUGGUCUAGGAGAUUAAUUACUUGGCUAGUCGGUUUGAUAAUUGGUUAAGUUCUAAAUAUGCCCUAUAAAUACAGCAAUUGCAUUCUAUAAUUUUUUUUUUUUCUUUUAUCAGAAUAAUUCCUUAUGAUUCCAGAAAUCCUUCAAACUUCAAUAGUAUGUGCUAAUGUGGUGACCAACCAUAUGUAAAUGUACUAAAUCUUGAAAUAAUAAUAAUGUUUGUGUGUAUAUAUUCUGAUUAAAUAACUAAAAUGUAGGCACAAUACUUGAAAAACGAUCCAGAUUACAUGAGCUGCAAAAAGAAAGAAUGCAAGAAAGAACAGAAUGGGAAAUGCAGUGUGACAACUUGUAGUGGUUCAAUAAAGUUUCAUGUUAUCAACAUUAGAAGUGAUAUAGAAUUUGUGUUCUUCACUGGUGGCUUUCUCACCCCGUGCCUUGUCGGAAGGUCCACUCCUUUGAGUUUUGCUAAUCCUAAGAAGCCACUUUAUGGACAUAUCUCAAGUAUAGAUUCAACUGCAACAUCGGUAAGUACCAUCAUUUAUUCCGAAAUGCAGGGUUUUAAAUAAAGGUUCGCGGUUGCAAAGUUGCGCCGCAAUAUAAUGGUUUUUGAGUUUGCCAAAACUGUGACAUCGCCCAUACUUGACCGCAAUUCUCUGCAGUGUAAAGGAUUGGAACAAGUGUGGGCGAUGUCAAGUGUGACUUUAUAAGUAGUAAUGAUUCUAAUCAAAUAUUUUAAACGAUCUGACGAUUACGAUUGACUGACGGUGUAAAAAAUCUUUACACCAACAACGUAUAUGAAUUAAGAAGAAUGCCACAGAUACCGACAAAAUGGCCACUCAUACACCAGAAUCUAACAAUUAUAAAAUAAUUGGUGCUGCAGAUGAGAUUGACAUGGGUUAGUGGGGACAAGGAACCUCAGCAAAUCCAAUAUGGAAAUGGAAAAACAGUAACUUCUGCAGUUACUACUUUUUCACAAGAAGAUAUGUGCAGUGAGUGAUAACUUUACUUUUCCAUGCUCAUUUAAGUAUUUGUUUCAUAUAUGCUUCUAUAUAUAGCUUUAUCUAAGAUUAAUUUUUUCCAUCUUAAAUUGAUAGGUUCGGUAGUGCCUAGUCCUGCCAAGGAUUUUGGAUGGCAUGAUCCGGGAUACAUCCAUUCAGCACUGAUGACAGGACUUAAGCCAUCGAGUGCCUACUCCUACAGAUAUGGAAGGUAUGAAGUUUCCAUGUUAGAUGUGUUCAUAACUUAAAUUAGUAUGAAAAAUGUUGUGGUUGCGAUUGCAGUUAGACUGAAAAUGUUGAUAUUGCGGUAAAAUGUGAUCACAAUCGCUGGUUAUAGACCGCAAUUUAGAACCAUGGGCAGACUAUUUAAUGGAAUACUAGUAGAACACUUGAAUUGAAAAUAUUUAUAUUUGUGAACAAAUUAUGGCUAGAAAUUAUGAUUUUGCUCAUAAAGUAAUUUGAUUUUGUUCCGAUGAUGGUCUAGUAACUCGGCUGAUUGGAGUGAACAAACCAAAUUUUCAACUCCACCAGCUGGAGGAUCAGAUGAGCUCAAAUUCAUUUCCUUUGGUGAUAUGGGAAAAACCCCUCUUGAUGCUUCAGAAGAACACUACAUUCAGGUAAAUUUCUAUUUCAAAUUAAAUAAGCUUUGGAAUUUUAAUGCGUACUGAGAUAACACAUUACGAAAUGACCGGUGGUGAACUAUGAAGCAUUGAUAUAGAUACCGAACACAAAAAUUUAAGCAAAUGAAAAUAAUGGAAUGUAAUCACAUGUGCCAGUGUUGAAGUGUCGGUGCUACAUCUUCACCUACAACAUUGUAUCUGUAUGUAUUGACGAUCUUGAUUGAAUUUGAACAGCCUGGAGCACUAUCGGUUAUCAAAGCGAUAGCUAAUGAAGUGAACUCCAACAAUGUAAACUCGGUGUUUCACAUUGGAGACAUAAGUUAUGCAACUGGUUUUCUAGCAGAAUGGGAUUUCUUCUUGAACCUUAUUAGUCCAGUAGCUUCAAGAGUUUCUUACAUGACAGCAAUCGGGAAUCAUGAGAGGUAUUGCAAUGACUUUAUACAUAUUAUGUAUUAAGAAAAUGAAUGAGAGUGGGUAACAUCCCAACUUUAAUCAAUGAUGUGGUUAAAUCAAUUAUAGUUUACAAAUUGUAGUGACCAAGAAAAGGACAAAAAUUGUUAAAAUUUUAAUUGAAAUUGAAUUAUCUAAAGGAGUAGCUGUUUUGGGAAUUUUGCCUUAAAUGACUAAGUUGUGGAUUAAGCUGCUGUAUAAGUGAUUCAUAGGGAUGAUAAUACAUGUUGGAACUGUUAUGUAUUAAGUACACGUCAGUAGUAUGGUUGCACUCAGUGCGACUCAUGUACGUACACACCAGUGGUACUUUAUCAGACGUAUAAGAUGAGUAACCUUAUAUUUUGUUUAGAAGAAUCUUAUUAUUAUUGUAAUUUUAAUGUAUCCAGUACUAAGUUAACCGCGUAUGCUAGAUAUUCUAGAUCAAUCUAGUAUGAGUGUUACAGAGUGUGCAAUGACUUAUGAGUUAUGACAUAUCAUUACUGAACUUGUUCUUAUUUAUAUUCAGGGAUUAUAUAGAUUCUGGUUCAGUUUAUGUUACUCCUGACUCUGGUGGUGAAUGUGGAGUACCAUAUGAAACAUACUUUCCAAUGCCAACUGCAGCAAAGGAUAAGCCUUGGUACUCUAUUGAACAAGGAAGUGUUCAUUUCACAGUAAUAUCAACUGAACAUGACUGGUCCGAAAAUUCUGAGCAGGUAAAAUAAUAAAGAAAUUUAUUAUUUUUAAUUUAAAAUAUUCUAGUUUAAUCAAAUAGCUGAGAUAUAUAUAUGUAAUUUUUGUAUUACAGUAUAACUGGAUAAAAAAGGACUUGGCAUCUGUUAAUAGACAACAUACUCCUUGGCUGAUUUUCAUGGGGUAAGUGAUCGUUGUGUAAUUUUUCCGAACCAAUGUUUAAAAAACUGAACUAGACAACAAACUCGUGAGACCUUAUGGAUCAUGCAUGGUUCAGCCACCUUUAACCGCUUGAACCGGAACCAAACGGCUACCAAACGGCCAAAAUAACUGAAUUGUAGUAAAGGCCGAUUCAAGAUUCAAACAGUUAAACCAUCUGGUUUGGUUCAGUUUUUAAAAUAUUGUUAUCAACUUCAUAACAUCUAUUAAACAUAAAAUUCUACUAUACAGACAUAGACCAAUGUACACUUCCAACAACGGAUUUUCAUCUAAAGAUCAGAAAUUUAUUAACGCUGUGGAGCCAUUGCUGUUACAGAAUAAGGCAAGAACAUCACUCCUUAGAACUCGGUUACUUACAGUUCCUUGUAUAAGAAGCUAACUUAUGUACAUUGUGAACAUGAAACAGGUUGACUUGGUUCUUUUCGGCCAUGUGCAUAAUUAUGAGAGAACUUGUUCUGUCUAUCAGAAUAAGUGCAAAGCCAUUCCUAUAAAAGAUCAAAAGGGAGUAGACACAUAUGAUAACAGAAAUUAUAGUGCUCCUGUACAUGCUGUCAUUGGCAUGGCCGGUUUCGCAUUAGACAAAUUCUCAAACAAUGUAACUAAUUUUCCUUUCGUCACACUCUUUUUUAUAAUGAUUGUUCUAAAUUGUGGUUAUGGUCGCAGUGGCAGUUUUGCUGCUAAAUUUGAUAUUUCAGCAAAAUACUGCCGACCUAUGAAGCAGGGAUACGGACAUGGAGACCGGACACGACACUGACACGCAGACACUGCUAAUAAUUUGAAAAUAUCACAUAAUUCAGUGUAAUUAUAUGUGUUGGUGUCGGUCGGCGUCAGACAUGACACCCGACACCAAGACAUGCCUAAUCCGAGGAGUACCCGUGCUUCAUAGCUGCCGACAAAGACGUAAUUAUGAUUACAAGGCCGUUGCAGAGACCUCUCAAACUUUUAUAUUGCAGCCGCUAUUGCAAAUUCAUACCGCAAUUUAGACCUAUGUCUAUACUUAAUCCUUCACUGUUCUUAUACUUUCUAUUCUUUCAAGAAAGUUACUUAACAUGCAAUUAUGCUUAUGAUUUUUUUACUAAGCAAUUAAACUGUAUGUUCUGUUGCAUUGGCAGGCUGAGAGCUGGAGCUUGAAAAGGAUUUCUGAGUUUGGUUAUUUAAGGGCACAUGCUACUAGAAAUGAUUUAAGCUUAGAGGUUAGUAUCUAAAUACUUAUAUUCCAACCUCAUAAAACUACUGAGUUUGUGAUUUUGUGCACUAAGAAUUACUUCAACCUUCAUUGCAGUUUGUGACAUCAGAUACAAGAGAAGUUAAGGACAGUUUUCGCAUAACAAAGUGAAGGCUUACUCAAAGAAAAAGAGAGAAAGAAAUGUAGAGUUGUACAAGGUCUAAUAAAGAUAAAAAAAGACAAAUAAAUACACACAUAUAGAUAUAUUAAAAGGCAAAGGAGAUCUAUAAACACUCCGAUAAAAAUCAUUUCGAUUGAUUCUUUGUACUCUAUAUACAUGAUUGUUGAUUUUUUAACAAAGAAUUACCUAUAGAUAAUAAAAUCUUGUUAUUGUAAUGUAGCCCUCAUUUCAUGUCAUAAUCAGGAUCAAAAUAUAUUGGGAAAUGUUAACCGAGUACCCGGCACUAGUAUAGUUAGCACUAGUAUAGUUAAGAAGACUAAUAUAUAAAUUUUGUAUUGGAAAGUGAUUAAAAGUGGAUUGUUCUACUUUAUGAAAGUCAAUAAGUUGUUGUUUUUAAUAGAAAAUUUAUGCUUUUAACUUAACGUGCCCUCAGGACAUUACUUAACAAAACCCAAAUAUAUAUUAAUGUUUGAGUAAAUAGGCAAUUACCCCCUGAAAUUGUAAGUUUCAUCAAUUACCCCUCUGAAAUUAACAAAACUUCAAUUACCCCCCUGAAAUUUCACAACGUUAAUCAAUUUACCCCCUCCGUCAAAUUUUUCUGUUAGUGAACAUGACGUUUUGCAAAUACCCCCCUGAAGUUUUGCACUUAUGUGCAAUGCCCCCCAAAUUUAAAUAUUUAUAUUAUUUUUUUCUUAAAGACAAACAAAUUAACGAUUAAAUAUGAAAGCUAACUAUUAAUUUUGGAGUUUGAAAAAAUUACAUGCAUAUAUACAUCAAAAUAGGGAAAAAUGUGUAUUUUUAAAGUGACAAUAAUGGUUAUUUCUAAUAGACAAAUUAUUAUUUUUAGAGGUUUAUAGACAAAUUAAUAAUCAGUUUUAAAUUUAUAUUUUCUCCUUCACCAUCUUAGUCUUUUAACUUCUCUAACUCCUUCAACAAUUUGCUCAAACCAUUUAAACUACACAACCCCCAAUAUUUUCAUAUGAUUUGUUCUUGUUUACACACUUUAUAGAAAACUUCAUUCUAACUUCUUGUUUGUGCUUCAGGCAAGGACAAUCAUUAAUCGUAUACAAUUUAGCUCACACCAAAAUACUAUCAGACGGACAUACCAUAUAUAGCAUAUUAAGUAAUAUUCGUGUAAAAAAGACACAAAUGAAAUAUGUGAUCAGUAUGUAUAGAGGAACACUUAUUGAGAAAUGUCAAACACUUAGACAUAUAUUUCUUUAUCUUUGAAAUUAAUCCAAAAAUCAUCCCAUUAUUGCCACUUUAAAAAAUACACAUUUUUCCCCAUUUUGAAGCCUAUUUUGAUGUAUAUAUGCAUGUACUUUUCCCAAAUUCCAAAAUUAAUAGUUAGUUUUAAUAUUUAACUAUUAAUUGUUUGUUUUUAAGAAAAAAAUAAUAUAAAUUUUUAAGUUCAAGGGGUAUUUGCAAAACGUCAUAUUCACUAACAGAAAAAUUUGACGGAGGGGGUAAAUUUAUUAACGUUGUAAAAUUUCAGGGGGGUAAUUGAAGUUUUGUUAAUUUCAGGGGAUAAUUGACGAAACUUACAAUUUUAGGGGGGUAAUUGCCUAUUUACUCAUUAAUGUUUCAUAGUAUACCGCUAACUAUUAAUUUCGAAUAACACUUGGGUGACAUUGUGGUUGAUGAUAUUCGUGACAUUGACCAACCACAAUAUCAUAAGUGUAAAAAAAACAUAAAAUCCUUGUGAAAGAAAGAGAAGAAAGAAAAUGUAAUUGAUGUUUAUAGAACCGAAAAAGAAAAUGUGAGUUGCUUAAUAUAUAGUACUUUAUUUUUAGGGUAAAUUACAUCGGUCAUUCCUAAGGUUUUUUUUUUUUUUUUUUUUUUUAAGGAAUUCCUAAGGCUUUCUUAAACACCCUCGAAGCAUGUUAUAUAGUUAAAUCCAAUAUAACUUUUUUUUGGUAGUGGUUAGGGUUUGAACCCGAGAUUUUGUAUAUUUUUAUGCAUUACUCAUAAAUAAAAGAAACAUUUUUGGAAAUAUUAUACAAAUCGGAUAACUGUUAAUAAGUUUUUUACGAAAAACAUUUAUGUUUUAAAUUCGAUGAAAAUCACACCAAUAAAAUACUUGAUGUGCGGAGCAAGUAAUAAUCAAGCAACCAAACAAAGUGUAUGGAAGUUAUAAACAUAAACAAAAGUAGAAAAACAGCGAGAGAAAGAAAGAAAGAAAGAACACACGAAAUUUGUAUACCCUAGUUCGGUCCAAUACUGACCUAGUUUGGGGGAGAGAGCAGCUCUUCGUUCCACUGUAAUGAUGAGUAACUUUACAAAAGAGAUAUCAAUGGGUUACAAGAAUAAAUCUCCCGCCUAAUUCUACCAAAAGUCCAAAUCUUUUCUCGUGUCCAAGAGACUCAAUCCUAAUAGUGUUUCCAAAUAUGAAUCAACCUCAUUUGUUGCAAAGAGCAAACUCUAUACAAACCCUAGUUUUCUUGUUGACUUCUAAACCCUUGUUUCAGCCCCCUUUAUCUCAAGGUUUACUCUGGUACCAAGUCUAUAUUUAUAGUAAAAGUAUCCCUCAUAAAAUUGGAACAAAUCUCAGCCCAAAAAUUCGAUUCUGUUAUAUUUUCUGCAGGCAAAUUCGAGCCCCGAUUUUGCUCUUCGACCACCGAUUUUUCACGUACCAACAGGCUGAAAAACCACAGCCAAAUUCGGGCCUUGGACAGCACCAUUCGAGCCCCGAUUUUAACAGAUUCAAAACUCCAAUUUCGAGUUACUUUCAAAAUAAUUUACAAAACUAAAAUUUUUUAUAUAAGUUGUUCGAAAACAUUUUAAAAACCGAAAAAAUUUAUAAAAGACAUUUUUGGGAAUCCAACGCACAUCGAAAAACUACAAAACUUUUUGAGAAAAAAUGGAUGUGUUUUAGUUUAUUAUAAAUGAAAGUAAAAUACUACUUCUUAAAAAAAAUAGAAAAUAAAAAAACCAUAUUGUAUUAAAAAAAGUUGAAAAAUAAUAAAUUGAAUUCUUUUUAAAUUAAAAUAUAGUUGAAUCCAAUACAACUUUACUCAUUUUGUUUUCUUUAACAAAAAAUUUUCAUAACUAAUAAAUGAAAGUAAAAUAAACACGUCACACAAAAUAUAGGAUGAGAUUAUAAUGAUUGAGCAAAUUCUAUGAUACACUCAAAAAUUAAUAUUGAAAAGAGUUGUUUUUAUAAGAAAAAAAAUUAUUUUCUAUCAUUAAUAAUUACAAUAAUUAGAUCUUAUUUAUCAAGUGUCGACUAAAAAAAAUUUACUUUUUUUAAAUUUUUGUUGCAUGUACCAGAAUAUUGAUUGUUUUUUAUGAGAAAAUGUUAAAAAUUUAAUAUGAUUCUUAUAAAUAAUAAAAUUAUGUUUUUUCUUAUAAAAUGAUGUUUUAUAAAAUAUAAAUAUUGAUAAAUAACUCUUUAUUUCAUAAAAUGAUAUUUAAUUAUAAUUUUUUGAAGUAGGAAUACCGGUAUACCUCGGAGAAGUUUCCUCAUGAUUGAGGUGCAUGGUAAAAUUUCUCAAUCAAAUGAAAUUACAACACGACAAGUGCCACGUUAUACAUAUUUCCAAUGCUGUUCUGCCACCUUUAUCAUCCUUCUGGAUUUUUCUAUGAUAACAGCUGCUCAUUCACUAUCUGCCCAUUCUCUUUACUUUCUCUUGUGUCAUCUUCAGUCAUCAACAAUUUAUCAAGAUAAUAAAAUCAUCCUAGAGAAGAGAAGACAUUACUUACACAAAGUGCAACCAUGGGUAGCAGCAAUAAGGAGAAGGAGAGAAACAUUGAGUUUAUGUUUAACGAUGAUGAUGUAGAGGAACAAUAUGAAAAGAUAGAGAGCGAGAGUAGUAGUGAUAAUGAUGAUGAUGAUGAUCAUUCAGUUCAGCUUCAGUCUUUCACUUCUCAGCAAUGGCCUCAAAGCUACAAGUAUAACUAAUCAAUUAAUUGCUACUGCUUCUAUUGUUUACUUUGUAUAUUUUCACAUUUGGUUUUACCCAUAUUUGUUACUCUUCGAAAUAAACCUGACUAAGCUGAGCUGAGAUCAGUGGCGGAGCCAGAAAUUAUAUAGAGCCUGGGCAAAAAUUGCACAUUUUUUGCGGAAAAUUUGAUAGACUUCCCAUGUAAUGUUACUUCCUUCCUGUGGAUAAUUGCACAUUUCCUGCGGAUCCUAAAAUCUUAAGGAAACAAUUACCCACGAAGAUAUACAUUUGCCUGGGAACCUAAAUCCAUGGUAAAUCUGCAGGAAAAGCGAAAAGUUCUAGUAAUGGUUGGGCUUGUUACAAAGAAAGUUGAAGCUGAGCUUGGGCUAGUGCCCAGGCUAGUUGGGGGGUGGCUCCGCCCCUGGCUGAGAUGGUGUUGCAUAGCUUAGUAAGCUUUGGUAGAAUUGAGUUAGGUGGAUUUUUAUUGAAUGGUUGAGAGAAUAAGGAAUGGUUUAGAGAAUAUGAGGACUCCUUGUUUUCCCAUCUUAUUGAUUUCUUGCACACUCUAUGUAAUUUGGAUUAUAUAAUCCAAAUGGCAUGAACAUCCCAUCUAAACCUCCCAAACAUGUUAAAACAUUCAGGAUUUUAGAAUCUGGACAGGGCAUGCGAGAAACUAAUAAGAUGAGAAAAGUAAUGGCCGAAUGUGAUUAAGACCAACCAAUCAAGAAGGCCCAAAUUAGAGAACUAUGUGGGGCCUUAAGCUGGCUUAAGGACUUCCAUAUUACAGAUAGGAGAUUGCAUAGUAGACACCUAACAAUUGCUUACAGACACCUCAAACUACUGAAAAUACCCCAACGGUAGUUAACUAUUAUUCACAUCAAUUUUUAAAUCGGUUAAAUUAAUUUAAAAAGUGAUAUGAACGGUAGUUAACUACUGUACGGAGUGUUUUUUUUUAGGUGUAUGUAAGCAAUUACUAGGUGCCUAAAGAGCAAUCUCCAUACAAAUAUGCAAACUAUUUCCAUUCCAUUAGAAUAUAUUCCCUACUUUUGCUAUUUCUCAUUUUUAUUUUUGCACACUUACUUGCCUAUGAUGGUUAACAUGUGAAUGAGAUUGGAGAUUUCUUAUUAUUUUCUACUUGAUUAUAACAGAGAGACUACAGAUUCUUACACAAUUGCUACAGCACCAAAUUUUGUGUCAAUUCUACGAGGGCCAAGUUCUAUUUAUUCAAGUUUUAGCAAUCGUUCAAAGAGUGACUUAGACAUAGAUGGAAAGACUCCUUUUCUAUCAGGUCUUGAUGGUACUACUCAAUCCACAUGGUGGGAGAAACGUUCGACGCAAAAUCUUGUUGGAGAAAUGCCUCUUGGUUAUGGUUGCAGCUACACUCAAACAGUUUUCAAUGGUAUGUAUGAUAAUUUUAUUUGACAUGUGCAUGUUCGCUAUGUACAUCGUAUGUUCAGUUGCACGCAAAGAAAAUGUGUAUUUCUUAUAAAGUUAUUGUAUACCAAGUUUGGACAUUCUAAUCAUAUGAAAGCCUUAUUAUGUAUUUGCAAGAAGCUCAUUCCGUACCUUAUAUUGCUUGUAAUUUAUUUUCUUUUAUUUUGUUCCGUCUGCAAAUAUCUAUCCAUACUUGAUUUCAAUUUUGACACGGAUGAUGAGGCGAUGAUAUGACUUUGCAGGGAUUAAUGUGAUGGCUGGAGUGGGCCUUCUGUCUACACCUUAUACAGUGAAACAAGCUGGUUGGAUGGGCUUGGUCCUGAUGCUUAUUUUUGCAUCUGUUUGUUGUUAUACAGCCACCCUUAUGAGACACUGCUUUGAAAGCAGAGAAGGACUCACUAGCUAUCCAGAUAUAGGAGAAGCUGCAUUUGGUAGAUAUGGCCGUAUUUUUGUAUCUGUGAGUUUUUCUAUAUGCUUAUUGAAAUCCUGUGUUUAUGCUUUUUUUUUUCCAACUAACAAAUUAGUGAUUUUAUUAAUCAUUGCUUACUAUUGAUAUUUGUUGCAGAUCAUUUUGUACACUGAAUUAUAUGUAAGUUCUGCAACCAUUUUUUACAUUCCUUUGGAACCGUUAUUUUAUUUUUUUGUGACUUCACCGUAUGUUUAAGAAUCGUUUCGUGAGUGCAGUCAUAUUGUGUGGAAUUCAUCACCUUGGAAGGAGAUAACCUCACUGGUCUGUUUCCUGGAACGUCCUUAGAUAUAGGCGGUCUCCAUUUAGAUUCCAUGCACUUGUUUGGAGUUCUGACUGCAUUAGUUAUUCUACCCACUGUUUGGUUGAAGGAUCUCCGAGUAAUCUCGUAUCUAUCAGGUUCUCUAUAUUCUAAAAGUGAAUAUUUCUGUUUUUAAAUUUUACAACUUGUCAUAUCCUCAUUAGAACUUCGAUUGUAAUCUUCAGUUGGAGGGAUUGCAGCAACAAUAUUGAUUAUUAUAUCUGUGUUCUCUGUCGGGACGACUGUUGGAUUCCAUCAUACUGGUCGAGUGGUGAAUUGGAGCGGCAUUCCAUUUGCUAUUGGUGUUUAUGGGUUUUGCUUUGCAGGACAUUCAGUCUUUCCAAAUAUAUACCAGUCUAUGGCUGACAAAAAACAGUAUACCAAAGCAUUGAUAACAUGGUCCGAUACCUAACUUUUAAUGUCACUGUAACAAGAUAUCGAUUUGUUCUUUGUGAAUCUCUGAUUCCUCAACGUAUUUCUUUGCGUGCAGUUUUGUUUUGUGUAUUUUGAUAUAUGGAAGCGUUGCGGUCAUGGGAUUUCUCUCCUUUGGCGAUGACACUCUGUCUCAGAUAACAUUGAAUAUGCCAGCAGGUGCAUUUGCUUCCAAAGUUGCAUUGUGGACAACAGUAAGUUUGAAAUUUUGUUCGUCUCUCGAUGCUAUUUUAAUAGGUUCAUUCUAGAGUGAAAAUUAUUUAUCACUGAUGUUCUCAUGGUUUUUUUUUCAGGUAAUUAACCCAUUGACUAAAUAUCCUUUUUGCAUAUAUUGAAUGUUUACGAUAGCUAUACAAUUAGAUACAGUUUAAUCCAACUUAAGAAAAAGCUUAGGUUGACUUUGAAUUUUCCUUAAUAAUUAACAAAUAUGCUUUGUUGAUGAAUCCACUGGCGAGGAGUCUAGAGGAGUUGCUGCCAGAGAGAGUUUCAAGUACUUAUUGGUGCUUUAUUCUUCUUAGAACAACACUUGUUGCAUCUACAGUUUGUGCUGCUUUUCUGAUUCCUUUUUUUGGUAAGUUUUGGAGCAUUUUCAAUAGUUACUUUUUAAGGAACUCGUUUGGUUUUCAUACAUUUUGCUCUAAUGGUAAAAAAUUAUGUAACUCUUAAGCAACCGACACUUUCAUGAUCUAGAAUGUUCAGUCUGAUCUUUUAAAUAUAAUUACUUAAGGACUAGAUAUAGAUGAUGUUGUUCCCUACUGUGCUGCAAAUAUAAGAUUACUUAACUGUAUAUACACAAGGCACGUUAAUAUUUGAAGUUUAGUAAAAAAAGUAAAAAUGCCAUAUCGGGAGGACUUGGAAUAGGAUUUGAUGUCCUUCUCUGUCGUUGCUGCAAAGUGGCUUCACGAUGUGUCAUGGAUCUAGCACUGAGUAGGUACUACAUGUUAAGAAACAGGAAUAUAAAAAUAUGCUGAACCUUGAUUUUCAUGUUUUCUUAAUCAACGCAUGAGAACGAUAUUGUUGAAGAACAAAAAUGGUGUUUUCAUUAUGGUCUUACAGAACGACGAUUGCUUUGGGUAUGGCUUCAACUAUUCCUCCAGCCUGUCAAUUAGUUUACCACAAACAUGUUAUGCACAAAUGAUCAAAUUAUGUUUAAAUGAUUUUAAAAACGAAAUUGUGGAAUGGAAUAUGGGUUGAAUGGUUUUUCAAUUUUUUCAUUUUAUUAUAUUUUGUUCUUAUUUAAUAUUUCAAUUUUCCGAUCAUUGAAUGGUUUAUAACGAUGCCAUAGAGAAUGCAGUAGAUAUGAGUCGUUGAUGAUCCUGAUCCCUUGGAAAGCCAGAUCAAUACGGGGUUUUUAUAAAAUACCAGUAGCUAUUUUUGUUAAUUCCUACCUCGUUUGUAACUUUUGAAAAUAUAGUGUACAUGAUUAAAAGCAGGAAUAUAAAACUAUCAUCAAAUGUAUUCUUUGUUAUUAUAUUUUCAUUUGCAAUAUUUUGUUUAUUGUAUGUACAUCAAACAAUUUUUAUAACAAAAUUCUAUGUUAAAUAUAUAAGCUGGUAACAUGUCAUAUAUGAAACGAAUGACUAAUGCAGUUUUGUUAUAAUUACAGGACUUGUGAUGGCUUUGAUCGGUUCACUCUUCAGUAUGCUUGUGGUAAGCAAUGAAAUUACAAUUUUGUUGCGUUUGUCCUACCUUUACGAUAAAAUUAUCGACAUAUAUUCACCAAGUAGCUCAAGCAUUAAUAGGAUAGUUGGUUUACGACAAGGUAUUAGAGUUUCUGGUCUUGAGUUUGGCGUAAAAUAUCUGAUAAAAGGUUCAAUUUCAGUAGUCAAUGUCUAUGAUGUCCAGAUUAUAAAAGCUUCAUUUUUAGCUCAAUUAUAUAACAGAAAAACUGUCGAACAACUAACUGAGAUAACAGAAAAAACCAACUCUAUCUACUCAGUUACUUGCGCCACAAGCAAGGUAACCAUUGACUAUUUUUGAAUUAGCUCAAAGCCCACCACCUUAAUUCAUUUUAGUCAAUGCUUCAAUUUCCAUCGAGUCUCUUGGUUUCGUAAACACUUCAAUCUUAACACCUUUGGUUAGAACAUCUGCAAUCUGAUUCUCACUUUUGGAAUGUUCCAACUUCAGUUUUCCUUUGCUUACUUGCUCUCUCAAGUAAUGAAACCUCAUUUCUAUGUGCUUACUUCUCCCAUGUGCAAUGGGAUUUUUAGCUAAGUUGAUGGUAGAAAUGUUGUCGAUCUUCAAUGUCACAGCUUCACACUUCUCAUCGAUAAUUUCAUUAAUCAAGUUUAUUAGCCAGAUUGUUUGACAUGCACACAGUGAUGCAACAAUGUCACCUAUAUAAGCAUACCAAUAAACACUUGAGAUCCAAUAAGUCUUCCGUAUUGAGUUGGAUCAACAUCACUCUCAUCAUUGUUCUUAGACAAUUGAAAUAUUGUCUUGGCAGGAGUCACUGCAUGAUUACGGUAUUCAAUAUCAAAUUUCUUAAGAAUUUUAAUAGCAUAUCUUCUUUGGUGCAUUAGCAGAUCCCUACUUCUUCUAUGAAACUCAAUUCCUAGAAAGUAUGAGAUGUGACCAAGGUCUGUCAUCUCAAAUUGUCUCAUCAUAUCUUUUCUAAAUUCACUUAUAUGAGCGAGCUUCACUGCUGCCUAUUAUUAACAAAAAGUCAACAUAAAGACAUAGAAUUAUCACACCUUUGUUGUUAUCCUUUUUGACAUAUACAACAUGUUAAGAAACAUAUUUGACGAUGGAGCGUAUUUCAGUUAGGAAUCCAUCUUUUCUUAUUCCAUGCCCUCGGUGACUGUUUCAAUCCAUAGAGAGCUUUCCACAAUCUACACACCUUUGAUUCAUGAUCUUUCACUUCANNNNNNNNNNNNNNNNNNNNNNNNNNNNNNNNNNNNNNNNNNNNNNNNNNNNNNNNNNNNNNNNNNNNNNNNNNNNNNNNNNNNNNNNNNNNNNNNNNNNUAUCAGAAAUAAUAGGAUCAAAGAGAUUGAGAUUAGCUUCAUAGGAGAAGUAUGAUUGAUAGGAAGAAAUAUAGGGAAAACCCUUAGAAUUCAUAGUGAAUUGUAUUGAAAAAGAUUACAUGAAUGAGUACAUGGUUGGUCCUUUUAUAGACCUCAAUGACCCUAACUACUUGUAACUAACUAUUGUUCUCUCUAACUAACAUUUAAUCAACUCUAACUACCUUAACUAACUCUAGUUAUCUCAACAUCCCCCCUCAAACUCAAGGUAAGAGAAUUCUUGCUUGAGUUUGAAAUACAAAUUCCAAAAUUAAUAAUGUGGUAACCAAAACAAAGAGGUACAUUUGGUAAAAAUAAAAAUGAUGAGAAAAGCUUUGAAGGCCAAUGCUUGAGUCCUAUGUCAAAAAUCAGAAGUCCAUAACCAUCUUGCAAGAGAAAACAUGCUUUGGCAACUCAGAAACUGUACCACGCAAACCAGCUUAACCAAACAACAAUUGAACCAAAUUAGCUUAUUGUAAACGUGAUUGUUGCCCAAGAUUGAAUCCAGAGGCCCAAGCCCAAAUGAAAAUCCAAGUCCUUAUGGGAAUCUGAGUCGAGACAGGAAUUGCACAAGAACAUCGCCUCCUCCUUUGAAAUUUCUGAAACAUGCUUAUACAAUCAAAACAACUUAUGCCGAACGUGCUUUUUCAAAACCAGCUUAUGCAAAAUCUAAAUCAAAAGAAACAACUCUUUAACGCGCUCUUGUGACUUGGUGCUGCAAGAAGCUUUAAACUGGUGUAACAGAAACAUAAAACACAUUCUACAAAAGCCACUUCUGCAAACGUGAUAAUCUGCUUGAAUAGCAAAAACGAGAUUCUCCUAACGUGCUUCUGCAGUGUGCUAUCUGCGAUUGUCACUAUGCAACGAAAAGCUUUAAAACGAGAUUCUGAAAUGUGAAUAUACCCAUACACAUAACUCUGAACUUUGCCCCUAAAAUCUUCAACCAAAAUAGCCUUCCCAAACCACGAUUUCAAAACGUGAUCUGAUAUUAUAGUGCAGGGAGAAGAAACCAAUAUGCCUCCGGGAUCAAAUGCAAAUGCAAAAACUCCUCUUUGAAGAAAACGCAACAGCGAACAUAAUCAAUUGCCGUUGGAAUGGAACAUGAAAGUACUAACAGAAACAGAUGAAAUACAGACUAAAAUUGACAGAAGUGAGGGCGAUGAAUCGCAAAAAUUACCACCGGGAUCGAAUACUUUGAUGUGGACACUACUGAGAUUGUAGAACAAAUUGACGCAUUCUGGUAGCGUUGUGGUUGUUGUCGAAACCAACUUCUCAAACACGAAGAGUGAAAACCGAAUCAAACUUGGAGUUGGAAACAAGAACGCAGUGGUUCUUGAAUCGAUGAUUUCGCCAAUCUUGAUCGAACUGUUCACAGUGGCACCGGAAAACAGCUGAGUAAGAUUAAACCAAUUCUUGGACUCCAUGAUUUCAGAUUCAAGAAUUGAAUCUUGCUGCUUUGAGAAAUUAGGGAAGAGAUAAGUCGUCUUCAUCAUCAUCUGCGAAACACGGUCAUCCUCCUUAGCUUCUUGGAAUGGUGAUGCUUAACGUAGAGAUUCAGAGGAGCAAUCUUCAUCUUCGCUUAGAACUUCAUCAUCACAGUCAGAAACAAGUUCCCUGUCUUCAUCUUCGUAAGCCAAGUCUUCAUCUUCACGAUCACUAUAGAUUGAUGCGCAACAGUAUCGCUCUGAUACCAUAUCAGAAAUAAUAGGAUCAAAGAGAUUGAGAUUAGCUUCAUAGGAGAAGUAUGAUUGAUAGGAAGAAACAUAGGGAAAACCCUUAGAAUUCAUAUUGAAUUGUAUUGAAAAAGAUUACAUGAAUGAGUACAUGGUUGGUCCUUUUAUAGACCUCAAUGACCCUAACUACUUGUAACUAACUAUAGUUCUCUCUAACUAACAUUUAAUCAACUCUAACUACCUUAACUAACUCUAGUUAUCUCAACAUAUAUGAAUGUAGAUGUUGAUGAAUAUGAUGUUAUAUAAUGUUGUUCAUGAUUGAUGAAUUAUUAUAUGAAUGUAUAUGUUGAUGAAUAUGAUUUGAUGUUCUUAGUAAUGUGAUAUAUUUGUAUAUGCAUUAUGUGAAUUAUAUAAGAUGAUUAAGUUGAUGAUUGAUUAUUAUUUGACAUUGAUAUAUCUUAAGAUGUUUAUGUGCUGCAUAUGUUGUUGUUGUAUAUUAAUUAAGUUGCAUGUGUCGGUUUAAGUUGUAAGAUGUUGAUCCAAAUUAUUGGAGUCAUAUGAGAUGUCUAAGUUGUUUUAAGUUGUAAGACGUUGAGUCCAUGCAUACUCAUUUAAGUUGAGGGCUUGAUGCCUUGUAAUGUAUAUUUAUACAUAUUAUGUUGAGGGCUUGAUGCCCUGUAAGUUGAGGGAUUGAUGCCCUGUGAGCCUAUUUACGCUCAAUAUGUUGGGGGCUUCAUGCCCUGGAUUGGUACCACAUGCAUGAUUAAGAAGUCGAAGUUGCAUUGUCGAGUCAAAGUCGUUGUUGAUGAGUUGUCAUCCAUGAGUUGUUAAGUUGUUGAGUUGUCUCUAUCCACGUGUUGUUAAUGAAGUGCUUAUGAAGAUUAUAUGAUGUUGUUUAUGAUAUUGAUUAUGAUGUUGUUAUGUCGUUUAUGAUGUUGUUUAUGAUAUUGAUUAUGAUGUUAUGAUGUGUUGUUUAUGUUGUUAUAAGAUGAUGUUUAUGAAGUGUUGUUUAUGUUAUUAUAAGAUGAUGUUUAUGAUGUGUUGUCUAUGUUGUUAUAAGAUGAUGUUUAUGAUGUGAAGUAUAUGAUGUUAUAAAAUGAUGUUUAUGAUAGAGAAUAAGCUGCUGUUAGAUUGUUGUCGUGAGUGGACUAUCUCUCACGUGUGUCUUUAGGUGCUCUGAUACGUAACGGGAUGAGAUUUUGUUGUUAUUUUCUAUUCCUUACGUAUUACCUUAUGAAUUUUCAUGAAUAAGUUGUUGAAUUGAUUUUAUGAGAUUUUAUGAUGAGGCCUUCGUGCCAAAGACUAUUUUUAGAUGUUGAAUAAAUUCCGCUGCAAAGUAUUAAGUAUGAUGUUAUUGAAUUUUUUAAGGAUAAUUAGUUGAUUAUUCCGUUUAUGAUUUUUAAGAAAAGAAGUGUGACAUUCCGUUUGUGUCGAAUACUCUGAUUAUAUGCGAAAUUUUUACGUUGGGAAAACGGGGUGUUACACAAUACAUUUCAAAGUUAUAAGAAAGUAAUUAUCAUUAUUCUCACCUCAUCACUAUUACCAAAACAUUUAUCAUCAAGUAGAUUCAUCAAGUGUAUAAGCACAAGUAAGCAAGAUGUGCAAUUAGAGCAUAGACCAUUUAUUUACAACCAUCAACAAAAUCCACCAAUGUACAUAUACACAAUCCACAUAAAUCACAUCAUACAUCAAUUUCACCAAUGCACAAAUUCAUCAAGUCACAUAUUCAAUUAUGACACAAUUCAUCAACAAUCAGUCCAAAUGCCACAAGUAUGUAUUCAUCAAACACACUUAUCAUCAACAAUCAUCAUUCACAUGCAACAAAGAAGACUCAUGUCAACAUGAUAUGCACCUAGUUCGACACAUAUAUGCAUGUGGUACCAAAUGACCUCAAGGUCGUCACCUUCAUCUAGACCACCAAAGGUCUCUACAAGGCCGAAACCCACAAUCUAGAUCACUAAUGGAUCUCUGCAAGGCCGAAGCCCAUAAACUAGAUCACUAAAUGAUCCCUGCAAGGCCGAAGCCCAAUGAUGCAACAAAAACAUCAUAUAAAAUCUCAACACAACUAUGAUGCAUGGACAUGUAGCAAAGACUCGAUAAUGCGACAUCACCUCACAAUUUUCACAACAAUAUAGAGGACAACUUUCAAAUAUAUUGAUCAUCUCCACAACAAUUGCAUUACCAACUGUUUACGUCCACACAAUGAUCGAGUCAUAAAUCAAAUAAGAUUCAUUAUCACAUCAUCACCAUAAUCAUCAAUAUCAUUCAACAUCAACUACAUCAUAUAGUUUCACCACUCCAAAUAUUUCUCAUAUUCCAAGUAAGAGAACAUAAACAUCUUAUGAUAAAUAUCAUAUCUCCAUAUAACAAAUCAUUCACACAUCUUCAUGUAGUUAUAUGAAACUAGUCACCAAAGGUCGUAAAUUAAUUAACUUAAAGAAAUCAUUUCCGAUAAAACCGUAUCAAGUGGCAAACGGCUAACCUUGAUAAUUCUCAAGUAAGGUAACAAUAUAAAGUUUAAAAACUCACCAAACAAUCUUAAUCAAUCAUGUAAUCAAGAGCUUAAGUCACUUACAAACUAUUAAACAUUAGUUCAAAGAAUAGCUUAAGUUCGUAUCAUAAAACCCAAGUUAACAUUUUUUCACAUUCCCACCCGAAAUUUACGUUCAACAUGAUUAAGAUGUUUGACUAACAUUACAAGCCUUACCUAAGUCCAUAUGAACUGUAGGUUAAACUUGUAAUCUCAUUUAGUUCAUAAAAGUUCAUUUUCGACAAAAUCCGAAAUUUCUAAAAUAUACAAGUUUCAACCCAAAAUGGAAAAUCCCAAAUUUGAAUGAGUAAAAUAUGUUCCAGUAGGUUUAGGGGUUCAAACAGUAGUUAAACAAGUUGAAAUAAUAUUUUACAAAGCUCGGAUUGGCCCCCUAAAGCCCGGAACGAAAAUUAAAAGGUGCUGAAACUGGGCAUGUACGCUUAAGUGUCCACCUGCACGCUUAAGCGUGCAAGUUCCAGUAGCUACUAUGAUUGCACGCUUAUCAGCACGCUUACCAGCACGCUUAAGCGUCCAGUCAUCAACUCUGCACAAAAACUCUCGGGUUCUUCCCCUUUUUCACCCAAAAUCCCCAAUUUUGAUCUCCCAAUGCCCAAAUAUGUUUCCAAAGUUUGUUUACAGGUCAUAGUACUCAAAAUGGCUCUCAAGAACACAUCAAACAUAACGACAAUUGACAUUUGAACAUAAUUCAACAAAUCAACCCAUUUUCACCAAAGCAACAACAACAAUUUAUUUCUCAUCAUCAAAUCAUGAUUUAUGAACACCCAAGCCAUGAAUCAUCAUCAACAACAUCACUUAGCAACAACAACAUCAAUUGAACAUGAAUCUUAUCACAAUUCAACAACAACAUAGCAUAAUUCAUCAAUUUGAGCAUAAUUCAACAUAUAUCACUUUCUCAUACUUUGAACAUGAAAUUUCACCAACAACAAUUCAAUUAUCAACAACUUCAUGCAUUCAAACAUAACAUCAUAAUUGGAGCACGAAUUCUAACAAUUAUGAACAAUUAAUCAAUUACUCAAUUAAGCACUUAUUCAUACAACAAUUGAGAAUUUAAACUAAAAUGAUUAUGAUGAAAUCUAACCCCCUUACCUUAGUUAGAUUAAUUCCCUAGCUCAAGCUUCACCUUAGCUCCUAGCUCUCUUCCAAUCCUUGAAUCUUCAAGUUCCUCUCCUCUCUAACCCUUUUCCUCCUUUCUCCCACUUUCUCUCUCUAUCUCUCUCAAAAUAUCUAUGUAAAUGAAAGUGUGUAGGAAAUUUCCUCUAAGAUAAUGUUUAUAUAGGAUGUCCCCUUAAUGGGCCUAAACCUAAAGCUUAGUGGACUUAACCCACUCCAACUUAAAUCUAAAAUGUUUCUACACUCUAAACGGUAAAACACUACAACGGUCACUUAACGGUAAAAUUCUAAUAACUAAUCACUACGAUAGUAACUUAGCAAAAUAAUUGUUCUCACUAACCACUAAAAGUAAUUCUCACCAAAAGUCACUAAUUUACUCUUAAACUCAAAAUGACCAAAAUACCCCUGAGUCCAAAAUGACUAAAUUACCCUUCUAACACGGAAACCCAUGAAAAUGCACCCAAUGAUGAAUAUUCACACACAAGCACAAAUAAACAUAUAAUAAAAUAAUUAAAAAUAAAUCUAUCGAAAAUCGGGCUGUUACAGGCUACAGCCGUAUCUCCAAAAUACAGUGAAACGACGCAUAUCUAAGAAGUUGUCGAAGAGUUAUUUUGGACCUUUCACCGUCCUUUGCUGCAUUGGUGACCUGGCAUAUGAGUUGGAUCUACCUCAAAAUUUGAGGAUCCAUCCCGUAAUCCACGUCUCACAAUUAAAAGAUUACCAAGGAAAUGACCCAGAGGCUCACUUUGCUCCACUCCCUCCUGACCUUUCCAAAACCAUUACAUCACCAGAAGAAUUGGAAACUUUAGAGGAUGAGACAAACACUGAUGAGUUACAAAAGGACGACGCAGCGACCGAAAGGGAAGUAGAAUGAGUGAUAACGCCACCGUGUGUCUGGGAGAGAAAGAGAAAUAAAAAAAGGAGUUGAAAAGUGAGAAAAGAAAAGGGAAAUAGGGUGAUGUUCACACUGAGUCCACUGAACUCCCCUUGGUUAAUGCAAACAGUCAAAACACUCUUCGUCUACCUCCCAAAGCCUCGAAAACUCCGCACACAAUUAUGGCCCCAGUUGAGGCAUCUGCACCGCUCGUUGGAAUCCCACCUACCAACAAAUCUUAGCCGUUCGGUAAGCCUACCAGGAAUUCGGUAAACAAAUCCUAGCCCUUGAAGCUUAACCUUGAAGACAAGGUUAAAAGUGGAGGGAAUAGCAGUGUUAGCAAGAGAAUUAUCAUUAAACCCACAUGGACUAUGGACUUUAUUCUAAAAUAUUAAGUACCUUUAUCUUAUGUAGCAGCAAGCCUUUAGUGGCCCAUUAGUCUGUUGUCCUAAGUGGCCUAGAGCCCAUUUAUAUUACUAAUUGUAUUAUCCUCCUUACUAUAUAAAAGGGGUGACUAACCUUAAGAAAGGUAUGAAAUGAAAAGUUAAAUUUUAAAUUCUUUACUUCUUGUCAAUUUAUUUUCAAUCUUGUCUUCUAGUUUAACCCUAAUUUUAGAGAGAAACCCAGAACCUAGCAUCACAAUUCUAGUGUGUUUUGAUGUAAUUCAGGAAGAAAUGCAAAUCGGCAAAGCAAGACAUCUGAAGACUUGUGAAGACUUUGAGAAGAUCAUGAAUGAAGAUUCAAGAGGCCUCAUAUGAUAUUACAAAAGGAGGAAUUUUUUCCCCAAGUCACAAGACAUUUUAUAUGGAAGAAAACACACAAAAUGAUGAAGAAACAAUCAUUUACGUGUAAGAAAAUACACUGGGGUGCCCCGAGCAUGCCAGACGCCCCGAGUAUGGGCUAGUGAUAUAAAUCCUCAAGCAUACGGUUCUAUCAAGUAGUAAAAUUUUAUCGUUCGUCAGAGAAUUUAUAUGAAUACCAAUAUUGUUUUUAGUUUUGAUUAGCUAAAAAGAUCGAGUUUAAUAAUUCAAUGGUUUUGAUGGUUGGAUUAGGAAAGUGUUCCAAAUCGUUUACCAAGUAAUAAAGUGAUAAGUAGAGGAUCGUAUCUACAUGGAUUUUCGUUUCGUCUAAACAACUUGUGUUAGUAAUUUGAAAAAAAAUAAUAAUAAAUAAGAGAUAAGGGUUUAGAGUUUGCAGUUAUUAUCUUUAUAGAGAGAGUUUCCACUUGAAGUUGAACCCAAAAACCAAGCUUUCUCCCACUAAAAAGUUGCAAGAAGGGGUUGUGGCUUGCACUCAGCAAUGCUCGGGGUACACAAGCCAUGCUAUAGGCGCAUGAGUGUGCAUAAAACUCAUGCUCGGAGCGCCUGAAGCAUGCUUGAGGCGCAUGGCCAUGCUCGGGGCGCCUGUGAGUGUGUUCUGAUGCAUUAAUCUCAUUUUUCCGUCCUUUUGGGUGUUUGCUUCCAUAUAAGAUGUCUUGGGACUUGGGAACGUAACUUCUCCCUUGGUAAAGUCUUUCGAGGCCUCUUGAAUCUUCAUUCUUGAUCUUCCCAAAGUCUUGACUAAUAUUCAGAUGUCUUUAUUUGCAUGAUUUAUUCAUGAAUUAUAUCAGAAAAACACCCUAGAAUUUCUAUGGUUCUGGAAGAAUAUAAUUACAGACUCAAAUAUAGAAAACACUACAAUUGUCUCGAAAUCAUAGUCAAUCGUUCUAGUAAACCUUUGUUAUGCGGAUAAAACCUACUGAAAUUGACUGAAAAACAUGCCAAGAAUAACGUAAAAUGAAUUGUCAUCAGGGUUUUUGGUUUUGAAAUUCAGAUUAAAAAGCGACGUGAGAUUAUUGGUUCAUCAUAAUGCCAAAUCAUAAACAUUCCCUAUUUAUUUCCUUAUUAUAUAUUAAAUUCAUUUUCUUAAGACAAGAUUUUCAUAGGUAUUCUCAUGUUUUCUUCAUCUCGUCUAAUCUCAUUUGUUCUAAUAUCAAUCUUCACCUUUGGGUACUUCGAUUGAUAUUUGAUAUAAGACUUAAAAAUUAUGAGAUUAGAUUAGAAAAAGAAUUUAAAUAAAAUAAGGUUCUAGACUUGGUUUGAAUAGGAUUUAGUCAUUAGACUAUUCCAACAAUCCCAAGACUAGAAAGUAUACUCACUCAUGAUGAUUGUAGACAAGAGAUAUAAAUUAAAAGACAUAGAAUAUAAAGACAUUAAAGUAAAAUGCUGGAAGAUAAAUUGUAGGAAGGUAAAGAACAAGAAAGUAAAGUGCAAGAAUGUAAAAUGCAUAAAUUUAGAACAAAAAGAACUUAGAUCAAGUGCAAAGCUUUUGAUUUCACUAGACUAAAGUUACAAGCAUUCCAAGAUGUUUACAACUCUGAUAUGAGCCCCAUUUAUAGCCUAGAACCUCAUACAAGGCAUUAAACUCGGAUUACAAGGCAUUAAUAGGCAAAUUCCAAUAGUUUUCAACAUUAAAAACUGACUGCAUAACGUGCACGGUCGUCCUGGUGAGGCACACAACCGUGUCGACUUUCAAAACAACCAAAAUUGAACAUCUCAACGGGCGCACGGUGUGUGCGUGACACUUGGUUCCCCUGCGCACGACCACUAGAAAAAUGAAGCACAACCAGUACAAUUUUAGGCACGACCGUGCCACUUGAAAAUUUGCUUCUUUCUUGAUUUGUCAUCUUUUUCUUGGUUCUUUAUCCAUGCUUUUGUUUGAAACAACUCGCUCUUCAUUAUUUUGACUCUGAAAACAUAAUAAAGACUUUGAAGUAAUAUAGCUGUAAAUCAUGAUUAAAACACACUAAUUUUUAUUGAAAUUUGAAGUUAAAAACAAUAUAAACUAUAACUUAUCAGCUAGGCGCCCAAGUGUACAAAAACUUGCAUGGGCGCCUCGAGUAUGUGCCUGGUGCCCCGAGUAUUGCAAAAAUACACUUGAGUACCCAGUAAUGCGUCCUGAGCAUGGGAAAUACGGUCUAUAACUACUUUUUGCUUGUUUUGAGUGGAAAAAACCUGGUUUUUAAGCCCAACUUCAGGUGGAAACGCUCCUUAUAAAUACCACUCCUCUCAUUCAUAACAAAGUGGUUCAAGAUGAAGGCAAACACUAGGAUCUUCAAGGGAGGAGUUUCUCUCCUCACUCCAAGUCUCUAAGGUAUGCUUUAUUUCUUUUGUAAUUUAUCUUUAGUUACCAUGAGUAACUAAAUCUUUUUUGGAUAGGGUUCUAAGAUGAACCUCUAUUUUGUUUGUUGGAUAUUUUAUUUAAUUUAAAUUCUUUAUUCAGUUAUUUUGUGAAUCCUAAUAAUUUUAUUGUCGUGCGUAAGAUUUGUCGCAUCUGAAGUGAAACCACCUUGAGAUAACGAUACUCAGGAAGUAACUGAGAUAACGAGUGUUGUAAUUAGCGAAACACAGUGACUUUAUGACUUAAAUCAACCUAGAAACUUCACUCUUCUUUCAUCCUUUGUAAGGUAGACGAGACAAAGCUUGACGUUUGUAGAACUACCGAGAGGGAAAGUGUGUUGAUAUCCUUCUAAGAUUCAGUAGACAGAGGUACCUUUAGGACAUUGAGGAUUUAUGGACCCUAAUAUUCGUUAUUGUUUCAAAUACCUCUUAGAAAGUAAGAACCAAUGCGUACCUCUACGCCCAAAUGUUUAUCUCCCAACAAGUUUGACAACCCUAAACACUGAAACCCAUAGAAACUCUGGUGGAAGGUUGCAACUGAUAGCUGUAGGGCGAUGAACCCACACCUCUAAAAGAGUAAGACCGCACAUCCAUGUUCCCGUGUGAUCAGCAGGUGCAAUUUGACAGCUAGUAAGUAGUAAAACCCCACAAACUCGUCACCUAGAUAGAAAACACUAAAAAUUGAAUAAGGGUGGACUGUUAAAUACUUCAAACAAAUGAAUAAUGGGGAUUCGAAGAAUUCUAACCACCGCUAACAUUCUAUAAUCAAAACAUGUAAAUCUUGCUCCUGCUGCAAACAAAUCAAAUUGCAAAACCCCUUUACCUUUUAUCUUUUAUUUUUAUUGUUCCCAAAUAAGUAACGCAAAUUGUCUAGUUGGAAUGACAAUCCAUGUGUUCACGGUAUUCUACUUACACUUUAUUACUUGGUAAAUGAUUUGAUACACUUGCCUAAAUCCGACCAUCAAGUUUUUGCUACCACUGUCGAAGAUUGUUUAUAUUAUCGACUAAGUAAUUUGAAUUACUUAUUUGUAACUGUCAUUUAAUCUUUCUCAUUUUAUUUUCCGUCAUUUAUUUUUCUGAUUUAAAUAUUAAAAAAUACCAAAAUAAUAAUUGAGUCGUUAUUAGGGGUCUAGUUUAAUUAUUAGGUAGUUUUUUUUUUCUUCAGUUGUUACUAACCAUAGUAUUUUCCUUUUUAAGCGUAGUUUAUAUUAUUUUGUUAUGUCUGCUUUGUUUUUCUUUUUAAGCAUGGUAUGGUCCCUUUCACAAUGACUUAUACAUGCAAGAAUCAUCGUGUGGAAAUCUGUGAACACACCAGAUGGUAUGCAAAGGUUCGGACGCAUGAAGUGAUGCACAUGACAUAUCCGUCAGGCUUGAGACGUGAAACAGGCGUUGAAUAUGAUACAAUCUGUUUUAUCGAGCUAAUGAUAAAAAAGAAACGCUGAAUGAGAGGCAAUCAAAACAAUUCAUUUCUUUUAUUGUUUAUAAGUCUAGUUGAUAAGUCUAUCUUCUCCUUGAUGAUUAUCUUAGUCUCCUGAUUCAUCAAAAAUAAAAGAAUUAAAAGCCAGAAAACUCAUUCAUUUAAACCGACACAACACACCACUAACCUUUUUUUUUUGUUUUACCCGUUCCACUUUUAUUCAUCAUUUAGGUUUCAAGAAUUUGAACAUAAGAGAGACCAAGAGAAAUUUUGUGUGUGGUGUACCCCAUGAUAAUAAUCUUAUUCUGCAUUUGAUCCAAUGGCCCAUAUUAGUUCUUUUAUGUCCUAAAAAUAAUGUCCGUAUCUCCAUUUGGGAGUGGUUAUGGUGCAUAAGGAAAUCCUUAUGCACCGUGCAUAAAUCCUAACAUAAUUGCUUCCUACACCCCCAAAGUGAGCCAAAAUCAUUUUUGUUCAAAAUAAAAGAAAUCUGAUGGUUGUGAUGUGUUUAUGCACGGUGCAUAAGGAAAUAACUUAUGCACCAUAACUUUUGCCUCUCCAUUUAUCUCCUAAUCCCUAUUAUUUCUCUCGUUAAUUAUUGUUAUAAUUUCCUUCAUUAUAAACACCUGAAACCACUCCUUUCAAAAAGAUUCUUUCUUUAUUCCUUAUUUAUUUAUUUAUUCCGUUUAGUAAUUUCAAGGAUAUUUGGGUAAUAAAUUGGAUUAAUUUAUUUCCUAUUAUUAGACACCGAAGUUAUUUCAGAAAAAAAAAAAAAAAAAAGGUGUGAAAUUUAUUAUAUAAAUCCCAUCACAGACUAAAGCUUUGCACAAACCCUUACUAUUCCUUUUACUUUGUUAUUUCGGCAAGGUAUGCAUUUUCACUUCUUCGUUGUUAUAUUUGAUUUCACUAACCAUUUUAAUUUAAUUCUUAUGUAAUACAAUAAUCUCUGCGAAAUCUUGACAUGCAAUUUCAAAUUUAUGCAGUUUCAUUGUAAAUGUUCAAGAUCUGAUAUGAUACUUCUUCCUUGUCAACUAUGUGUUGUGUUUGCUCUUCCAUCGUAGAUCUUUUUUUAUUACAACGAGUGUAAUUUCCUUGAUUAAUCAGGUAAGAUCUCUAAAUUUUCACUUGAUUUUCGUAAGGGUGAACAAAAAUCACCAAAACCUUUUUUUUUUCUUUUUUCUUUCAACAAACAAAUCACCAAAACCUUGAAAGGUGUGUGUUAGAACCUUAAAAAUAUUAAUUCGGAAAAUGUUUUAGAGUCAAAGCUUUUCUUUUUUGAAGCAAAGAGUCAAAUCUUUUCAAUAAUUACUUAUUAGUUUCUUUAGGAUUUUUUAUGAAAAAGAUAGAAUUUGUUGAAGGUACAAUGAUUAGACCGGUUGACGAUGCUGUUGUCCCCAUUGAUGUGUACGUGUUCAAUGAGCCCACUGAAUUUCUCGACCUUUCUCAUCAAUUUGAGUUUAUGAUUGGUGAGUUGCUAAUCAAACUUAACAAUGAUCAAUUGAAUAAACAAUUGUACCAUGGUUAUUUUGUUCCAGGUGAAUGUCGUAUGUAUACAUUUUAAUCCUUUUUUUUUAUACCGCGAUAAUUUCAGGCGUCUUAAGUAUGCUUGAUAAAAUAGAUGAUGUGAAAGAUGUUGUAGUUGACGGAAAGGUUGUCACCAUGUUAAACUCUUGUGUUAGCAUACUCUUCGCAAGAGUUCAGAUGUGGAAAGGUAUAUAUACGUUCUACAUUGUGUUUAUUCAUUGAUAUAAAAUAGUUUAAAAUGCUUUUACACCGUGUGUUUAACAUUAAUUUUUAUUUAAUAGGCAUGCCUACACUCCAACCACUGAAUAUGCCACCAAAUUGGUCUUCGAUCCCGUUAUGAAUGGGAUUUGAAAAGGAGGUUAUUAUUAGGGCAGUGCUAUUUGUCCCGAGUAAAUUUCUCAAGAAUAUCCCAUGAACUUAAAAUAGGACCCACUUGCCAUACAUGGGAGGUGCUACAAUAAAAAGAUACAGUCGGGAUGAUUUCGGGAUAAAGAUACGGUCGGGAUGAUUUUGGGAUAACUGUUUUCGCUGUAAACAGCAUAAUCCUUAUUAUUAUGGAUCUGUUGUUUCUUGCCAAUUGAUUCUAUUGUAGAUUAUAUAUAUCCAUAAUGCACAGUCGUAAUUCCUUUAUAUGUCAUCAAUGGUUGUGUUUUUUAGAUUUUUAUUUAUCCUUCUCUAGAAGGAUAAAUAUGAGUAUUUACUUUUCGAGUGUGAUUCAUGUAACACAGUGUUGUGAUAAUGUAUUGUUUUUUUAUGUUUUAAUGAACAAAAAGAAGCGCCAAAUGAGAGGCAACAUAAGUGUAUUUUCUACAAUUUCUGAAACAAUUUAUUUCUUUAAAUUUAUAAGUUUAUAGUUGAUAAGUCAAGCUUCUCCUUGAUGCAUUUCUUCUUACUCUAUUAAUUAAUUCAUCAAAAAUAAAAGAGUUAAAUGCCAGCAAAUUCAUUCAUUUGAACCGACACAACACACCACUAACUUUUUUUUCACCCGUUCCACUUUUAUUCAUUAUUUAGGUUUAAAGAAUUUGAACAUAAGAGGCCAGAAAGAAAUUUGGUGUGUGGUACCCCAUGAUAAGAAUCUUAUUCUGCAUUCGAUCCAAUGGUCCAUAUUUAUGUAUAAUUAUGGUAACAAAUAAUUUCUUGCAAAACAAGCCAGUAAUAAUGUCUGUUUAUCUCCUAAUCCCUAUUAUUUCUCUCGUUAAUUAUAAACACCUGAAAUCACUCCUUUGAAAAAUAUUCUUUAUUCCUUAUUUAUUUAUUUAUUUAUUCUGGUUAGUAAUUCUAAGAUAUUUUGGUAAUAAAUUGGAUUAAUUUCUUUCCUAUUCUUAGACACCGACGUUAUUUCGGAAAAAAAAAAAAAAAAAACUGUGAAUUUUAUUAUAUAUAUCCCAUCACAGACUUAAGCUCUGCACAACCCUUACUAUUCCUUUUACUUUGUUAUUUCAGCACUUUCAGAGGUAUGCAUUUUCACUUCAUUGUUAUAUUUGAUUUCACUAACUAUCCAUUUUAAUUUCAUUCUUAUGUGAUACUAUAAUCUCUGCCUAAUCUUGAUCUUCAAUUUCCAACUUAUGCAGUUUCAUUGUAAAUGUUCAAGAUCUGAUCUGAUACUUCUUCGUUUUCUACUAUGUGUUGUGUUUUCACCUCCAUCAUAGAUCUUUUUCUUAUUACAACGAGUGUAAUUUCCUUGAUUAAUCAGGUAAGGUCUCUAAAUUUUCACUUGAUUUUUGUAAGGGUGAACAAAAAUUACCAAAAUUGUUAUCAUGACUGAAAGUUAGGGUUUAAGUCAUAGAAAUAACAUCUUGCCUAAAAAUAGGGUAAGGUUGUGUACAAAACAUCAAAUGAUGAAAUUUCUUCACGGACCUUACGUAUGCGGGAACUUUAGUGCACCGGCCUGCGCUUUUUACCUAUUUUCAUUUCAUAAUGUUAAAACUAAUUUUUGUGUCUAACUAAAAAUUAUUCUAUUUUGAAAUGCUAACUCAGAUGUUUUUUUUUUUUUUUUUUUUAUGGUCAUUUUGCUAAACUAACACUCAUUUUAACGCAGAAAAUUGUCCAGAAGAAGAGCCAGACAAUUAAGAAGAAUUCAAAGCUCAUAUUCUGAAGGGAAAAAAAACUAAACAAACCAACUCUUCAGAGGUAAGAUUUCUGCUCCUAUUUUAAAUAAUUCAAUGAUGCUAAUAUAGUUAUUGAAUGACUGGUGCAGCAGCUUUAUGUUGUUCUGUUAUCAAUAUUUAUCCUCAUAAUUACAAUAUAUAUUGAAAUGUUUAUGAAUUUCACAAUGGUUUAAUAUGAUUAAAAAUGUAAAAAGAAUUGGCUUUUUCAUUUCCAUUUUGGAUCUCAUCUUUUAGCCCCAAAAAGUUUUUUCAAGUCCUAAUUUAAAGUUGAAGAAAUUAUUAAAUGUUAUAAUGAUCUAAUUAAAUAAUUGAUAUAACACAAAACAAUUAGUUUAGUUUAUGUUUUCCGUCUUUUUUUCCUACUUGACAUUUUAUCAAUUUCAUGUUUCUAUAUUUUUUUUUUUUGCUUUUUCUUGUGACCUUAUGUCCUCGACAUGCAUUCAAAUUACAGUGACAAAUACAAAAUGAACCACAUGAAUGAGUUUAAUUUUUACGGCCCCAUCUAGUAGGAAAUGAUUUGAUCUUUUGGAAACCGGAGCGGUGCCAACAUAGAACUUGUUCAUACUCCAACCCUUAACUAUACGUUUUCAUUCUAGCAAAUGAUAUUUGGAACAGGUUUCCCAGUAUUUCGGUUUAGCAAAUUAUAUUUGGAAGAAGUUGCAACUUUUAGAUAUACAAAAGGUAUUUCUCCAACACCUCCUUCAAACCUCAUAGGAAAAGAAGACUUGAAAAUCCCAUAAGCAAACACAUUGUGGCUUUCAUUUUCCCUCCAAUGAGCUAUUAGAGAUUAGGUUGUGUAGAAACUAGCAAUCAUGCUGGGAACCAAGAAAUGUACAAUGACGAGAAACUAUAGAAAUUCAUUGAAAUGAAUUUCAUAAUAUUGUAUUUUUAAUAACCAAGUAAUAUUAAUUGAUAAAUAAAUCAAAAAAAAGGACAUGGCGGAUUAGGAAUUUUGUCGAAUGUUAUGUCUUCUAAAUUAGUUGCUGCGAAUGUAUCAUCUCAAUUAUUUAACCUUGUCGCAACCUGUACAACGAAGGGCCGACGGUAAUGCACCAUGAACUGAACACUUGGUUAGUUAGAAGCAGUCAGAAGUCAAUUACUUGCAUAGCAAGUAAUCUUCUAAGGUAGUUAGAUUUGGCUAUCCAAUACAUGUUGUACAUCAUAAGCUAACAUAGAGAACAACUUUUGUACAUAUACCUCUUGUAAUAGCUUCAAUAAUCAAUGAGAGUCAUUACUUUUCAUUCAAUUCUUUCAACUCAUAAUAGACUACACUCUCAUGGUAGAGAUGCACAAGGUAUAUACCAAUAUGAUUGAUUUUUGUAUCAUACAUUUAUCUCUUAUAGAUGAAGAGUGUGAUAUCAUUGUACAUUUUGAUGAAUACUUUCUCUUCUAUUGGAGAGGCCACUGGUUUUGUUGUUGGAGUUUUUUUUUACUAGUAGCACCAAAUACUCUCUGACUCACCAAAUACUCUCUUUCAUAUAAGUUUAUGAAAGUGGUAAGACAUGUCACGAUGUUACUUCAUUUUAAUUUUUUGACUCAACACAAUAUUACUUUAAUGAACUAUGGAAAGCCCUCUUUCCAGAAAAAAAAACAAUUUUAAUUCUACUUAUGCAUUUGGAGUUUGCAUACAAUUAAAACUCUAUAAAUUAAUAAUGUCAGGACCGGAGAAAUUUAUUAAUUUAGAGAGUUAUUAAUUUAUCGAUAAAUUAAUAAUUAUUAAUUUAAAGAGUUUAGAAGAUAUUGUGGGUACUAUCAUUGACAACAAUGCAGAGGAUGACGACAAAGAUGAUACGGUGUCUUUGGAGUCUGUUACACGAAAGGAAGCACUUAUGGCGUCGAAUUCUUCACAACUUUAUGAUACAAUACAAAAAUACAACACCUGAGCUAUUGGAUGCAAUAAGAAAAGUUAGAGAUGAGCUCCAAACAGACUUGAACUUUAAAGGAAAACAGACAACUAUUGAAUCAUAUUUCAAUAGUGUAAUAUUUUUUUUUCAGUUUCUAUGAAUUAUUAAUUUAUGAUUUUCUUGGGACCAAAAAUUAUAAAGGGAUCUCCCGAAAAAUUAUUAUCUUAUUAUUUUAUCGAAUUAUUCAAUUUUUUACACUGGCCCAAGUCGGGACCGGACAAAUUUAUUAUUUUAGAGAGUUUAUUAAUUUACCGAGUAUUAAUUUAAAGAGUUUCUACUGUAUGUAAAUUUUUUGUUAUUGGAAGGCUCGAUUUUGUUUUAAGGUACAUGAAGAUUUGGCUAAAAGAUAUGUUCAAUAAUCAAUGAAAGAACUAUGGAAAUCCCUCUUUGUAGAAAACAAUUUUAAUACUACUUAUGUAUAUAUUAUUAAGAUAAGAUAAUCACAUGGAACUUCUUCUCUCUUAUAACAUAAUUUCUUCUCUGUCUGUUUCUCUUCUCAGAACUGGACUUCCUCUCACAUUCAUAACCAGAGCUUAUUCUUCCUCUUCUCUAAACCCAUUUUCAAUAUUCUUUUCACAUACCCAUACUUUCUCCCUCUCUUUGCUAACUGCAAAGUAUUUCGCCGGAUACUUUAAGACGGCAGCCGAACAGAUUUCUCUAACACUUAGUCAGAGGGAUCGAACACAGAGGCAUAAGGUGGAUGUUUGAUGCUAAAGAGAAAUCAGUAGGUUCGAUUGAGAAGAGAAAUCAGCGGUUGUUUAAAUCAGAAGGUGGUUGACGAUUUCCUCUUCUUCGUGACCAAGUUUAACCACGUAUCUUUAUUCUCUUUCAAUUCCUUUGUUGUUCAAAAUAGAUUGCAAUAGCUUCUUAGAUUUCUUUUAAAAUCAACGUAAUUGUUGUUCAUAUGAUUGUUGUAGGUUUGGUAUGUUGAUUUUGGAGUUUAUGAAUAUGAAUUUUCAAUUUGGGAGGAUCAUUUCUUUUAAAAUCAACGUAAGGUGGUUGAGCGAUUUCCUAUUCAUUUGUGACCAAGUUAACCACAUAACUUUCUUCCCUUUCUCCUUCAAAAAAUUUAAAACUUUCUUCCCUUUCAAUUCCUUUGUUGUUAAAAAUAUAUUGCAAUAGCUUUUUUUUAUUUCUUUCAAAAUCGAGGUGAUUGUUGUUCAUAUGAUUGUUGUAGGUUUGAUUUGUUGAUUUUGGAGUUUAUGAUCAAGAAUUUUCAAUCUGGGAUGUAAAUUCGACAUCGCAUCGCAGGUUAGUGGCUUGUUACCAAACCCUCUGCUUCUUCCCAUCUCUUCUUUACUUUUCAAAAUAAAAAAAUUGAAUCUAUCAAUCUCAAAUUUCUCUCCCUCCUUUCUCACUCGCAUGUCAUGACUUCGAAACUUGCAUGUUAGAUCUCAAAGAAGUGUUUAGAAUGUUCCUUAAUUAAUGUUAUUAUUAUUAUUCAUGUGAUGUUUCCUUUUUUAGGGAUUAAUCAUAUGAUGUUGUAAUGAAGUUUCAACUACAUUAUAUUUAACAUGAUUUUAAUUUACAAUAAUGCUAGAUCUCGCAAACCAAUCUAUCAAGAAAUAUUCACGCAUGACUAUUUAACAUAAUUUGCUUGUUUUUUUCUUUCUUUCUUUCUUGGUAUAGAUAAUUUGCUUGCUUUAUUAAUUUUUUCAUUAUUUUAUAAAUGCUUAUUUCAUUACAUGGUACUUUUUUUUUUCUUUUUAAGUGUCCUUUAAGUAUGAUUUUUUUUUUUCCUUUUUAUUUAACUGUUAUUUUGAUAGUUUAAAAGUAUAAUUCGUCAGUUAUAUCCUUUCUCAAUUACUUGUACUUAUUAAUUUUCAGUUUUUUAUUUGCGGAUUUAAACUUCCCUUAACCAAAAUUUUGUUACUUAUAAUAAUGGUUCAAUGAAAAGUAAAAACUUUAUACAUAAGAUAAGUAACAUUGUUACAAAUUGAGUGUAAACUAAAAGAAUAAUUAUCAUGAAAAAAAUGACUUCACAAAUGUUAGAAAAGAAGAAAGAUUGGAAGAGUCGUUGAAACAAAAAAAAAAAAAAGAGAGAAAAAUGAGACAUAUUUGAAGACUCGAAUUUACCGAAGAGAGGGAGAGUAACCUCUAAUUGUUUGUUAUGAAAUAAAUACAACACAUUAAAUUUAUCAGAAAGAAAUAUAGUGUGAAAUUUUUAUUGAGUCAGAACAAAAAAACUUCCAUUUUCCUUCAAAAAAUAUUGAGUCAAACAAAAAAAACUUCCAUUUCCCUUAAAAAAAAUGUGACAUUUGAGUAAUCCUUUCGUUUGAAAUAGCAUUGCUCUUUAAUUUAUUGUGUUCAUAUAUUGCGUUUAUCUUCAACCCGUGCUGCACGAGUGCACAAUCUAGUAAUUAUAAUGUCACACAAAAUAAAGUAAACCCUACUUUUUUUGUAAGGAAAAGUGAACCCUACUUAUAAUAUCAUAUUGUUUACUGUUUAGUAAUAUAUAAUACAAUGCAAUGCGCAUCAUUAACACCAACACAUGGCCUAGAAUUUCUCAAUUAUAUUAUUCUACUAAGCACCGGCGUCUGGUGGCACAACCACCGUAUCGUAUGUCCUUUUGGUCUUGGAACACGGGUUCAACAAAGUACUGCGUGUCACAUGGGUUAAUGUUUUAUUUUAUAAAAGGCUAAAGUGCACUUUUGGCCCCCUAUGUUUCAAAAUGUUGCGAUUUUGGCCCCUAUUAAAAAUAUGGCAACUUUGGCCCCUUUCAUCCCAAAAUUGCUGAGAAGACGCCACGUGUCCCAAAAAAGGGGCUAUAAUCGCAACUUUUUGUAAAGAUAAGGGGUCAAAAAGCAUAUUUCCCUUAUGUUAGGAGGUCAAAAGAGCAUAUUUCCCUAAACAUAGGGGGUCACUUUUGCCAUUUUUUUUAAUAGGGGCCAAAUCGCAACAUUUUCAAAACUUAGAGGACGAAAAGUGAAGUUUAACCUUUAUAAAAAUAUAACUUAACUACAAUGUUAAUAUCAUUUUUUUUAGCAAGUUAAAAUAAGAUAAUUGCUUCCUACAUCCCUAAAAGAAACCAAACAAAACAAGUAUCUCCUGAAACACACGAUUGGUUGUCACUAGAAAUUAUGCCUCGACGCAUUGUCCUUUGUCGGCCAUCUAUUGCGAAAGAGACGCCAAAAACAAAUAGAGACUUUCAAAGGAACCUUAUUAUGCCAUGGUGCAGCCGAAGCAACAUCAUGGGCCUGUAUCUCCUGCCUCAUAAGCAUUUGAUACACUCCACAGACCGUGUAGUCAAUUGUAACAUCCGGACGCCAAAGCCAAGUAUCUGUCUCAGAAUCCUACAAAGUAAUGUUAGACAACAAAUUCCUAAUCUCCACCACUAAUUCCUCCUCCCAUGUUAAUAUCUUAUUUUUAACCGUUCGCUGCUAUGCUGUCUAAUAAAAAACAUUACAUUGUCAUUAUCAUUGAAGUUUUAUUCAAUCUUUGUUUUUCCGACCUUUUUAUGCAGAUGAUGAAGAUUGAUCUAUACUAUGAAGACUUUUUCCAAACUUAGGCAAAUACACCAAACAUAAGCUUGAUAUGGAGAAUCAGACUUUUCGUUGUAAAAAGCCAAUAUAUGACUUGAUGUGUCAAAUAUAUUGUUGAACUAUAUAUUUAAUUGAGGUAUCGACGAAUAGCUCUCAAUUGUGAUUCUUUUUCUACAAGUGAUUAUAUAGAUGAAAGAACUUUGUCCCUCAAUUAAGAAUCUCUUGACUACUACAAAAGUGUUAACUAAGGUGUUUGUGAGAUGCUUGAGAUACUAAAUUAAGAAAUGCACAAAAAUAAAGAUAAAGGGAUAAAAAUGCAUAACUGACUUGAUUUUGAUUGAUAUUGUGUCCAUGAAAUAUACGAUGAGUAUUUAUAAUAAUUAUAUCUUAUUUACAACUAUCUGUAUACUCGUAAAUUGAGGUGUAUCCAAACUCUUGUUUCUUUAAUAAAUUGAGGGCGUUUCCACCAAUCAUGAUAACCGUUAAACUUAUUUUGAUUUUGAAUAAAAUUAUAGGUAUAAAUAGUAGAUUUUUUUUUUUUAGCAAGAUAGUAGAUAUUUAUACUUUAAUAUACUUAUCUUUUUCAAAAAUACUAAUAGGAUAAGAAAUAUAAUAUAAAUUUUGGUGACAACUAGGCUACCCAUGAAAGAAUGAUGGGUAAUUUAUCCCAACCAAUACACAUUGGCCACAUAAGCACAUAUUCAUGAACUAUCUUGACCCCACAAAUAAAUUGCUCAUUUUCAUUGAUUGGUGGGUAAAUUACCCACCAUUCUUCAAAGGUAAUUUAGAAAAAACCAUAAAUUUUUUAUUUUUUAAAUUACAUCAACUAAAUAAUAUUUUUGUAGUCAAAUAGCGAAAAAACCUGCACAAAACCAAUUACAUAUUAUUUUAGGCAAAUUCUAUGGUACAUUCAAGAAUUUGAGUGCACCGGUACACCAAAUCAUUAAUUUAAUAUUGAAACGAGUUGUUUUUUUGAAGAAAAAUUAUUGAUUUCUAUCAUUAACAAUUACAAUAACUAGAUCUUAUUUAACAAAAGUAUCGACGAAAUAAUUUUUUUUUUUUUUGAAAUUUUGUUAUAUAUAACGAAGAUUAUUGAUUAUUUUUUAUGAGAAAAUGUUAAAAUUUUAAUAUGAUUAUAAACAAUAAAAUGAUGUUUUUUUCUUAUAAAAUGAUGUUUUAUAUAAUACAAAUAUUGAUAAAUAACUCUUUAUUUUAUAAAAUGAUUUUUAAAUUAUCAAUUUUUGAAGCAGGAGUACCGAUGCACCUCAAUUUAUGAGAUGUACCGUAGAAGUUCCCAUUAUUCUAUGCUUUUCCCUUCAAACUUUCAUGAAGUGUGUGAAUGUGUUUAAGUAGGAUCUCUAAAUAUUAAGUAUUUUUUUUAGUAGCUGUAAAAAAAGAAAAGUGUUUUCCUUUGUACACAUGUUUGGAAUUAGUCAACACUUUUUCCUUUCAAAGCUUGUUGUUUAGAGUGCGGUGGGUGGUGUAGUGAAGCACUCCAUUGUUUCCCCAAAAGAAUCUGCUCUUGUGUUCGCAAAGAAAUCUAAAUGGCCUCCUUAAGAUCAAAAGUAAAACAAGUGCUGUUCCUAUGUUUCUCUCUCAUCCUCUUCCUUCGAAUGGUCAUUGCAGAUGAUGGCACUUUCAUGUCAAAGCUGGCAAAAUCCUUGAGUCCUACACCAUCAGGUUGGUCAUCGAACACAUCCUUCUGCCUCUGGACAGGCGUAAGAUGCGACGAAUUUAACAGCGUAACAUCUAUCAAGCUUGCUUCCAUGUCACUUAUUGGAACAAUUCCUUCUGAUCUCAACUCACUUUCAUCACUCACGUCCCUAGUUCUAUUUUCCAACUCUCUUUCCGGUGCAUUACCCUCACUUGCUAACCUCAGCUACCUCGAAACCGUUUUACUCGACAGCAACAACUUCUCCUCCGUCCCAGACGGUUGCUUCCAGGGACUCGACAACCUCCAGAAACUUUCCAUGAGAAACAACAUCAACCUGGCUCCAUGGACAAUUCCCAUCGAGUUGAUACAUUCUACCCGCCUCGACUUAAUUGACCUCGCAAAUACCAAUCUCGUGGGUCCUCUGCCAGAGAUAUUCCAUCGUUUAUUUAGUUUAAAGAACCUCCGUCUCUCAUAUAACAACCUCACGGGGGAUUUGCCAAUGUCUUUCUCGGGAUCUGGUAUUCAGAACUUGUGGCUCAACAAUCAGAAGCCAAACGGGUUUACAGGUUCUAUCAACGUGCUUGCUUCGAUGACUCAGUUGACUCAGGUUUGGCUUAUGAAUAACAAGUUUACUGGUCAAAUUCCCGAUUUCUCCAACUGUACCGAUUUAUUUGAUCUGCAGCUUCGGGAUAAUCAGUUAACAGGUGUUGUUCCAUCUUCUUUAAUGGCUUUGUCUAGCUUGAAGAACGUUUCCUUGGACAACAAUCAUUUGCAAGGCCCUUUUCCUUCUUUUGGCAAAGGUGUGUCGUUCACUCUUGAUGAAAUCCAUAGCUUCUGUCAAAACGCUCCUGGACCCUGCGAUCCGCGGGUCACUACUUUACUCGGUGUUGCUGGAGAAUUUGGUUAUCCUCUUCAAUUGGUGAAUUCUUGGAAAGGGAACAAUCCUUGUCAAAAUUGGAGCUUCGUUGUGUGUUCAGAGGGGAAGAUUAUUACAUUGAACUUAGCCAACCAGAAACUGAAGGGAACCAUUUCACCUUCAUUUGCAAGUUUAACUUAUUUGAGGAACUUGUAUUUGGGUGAUAACAAUUUGACAGGUUCAAUACCUUCGAGCUUGACAAGUUUAGCGCAUCUUCAGGUUCUAGAUGUAUCUAACAACAAUCUAUCUGGAGAUGUUCCUAAAUUCUCUUCUACACUCAGAUUCAAUUCAACGGGUAAUGUUUUGCUUCGACUUGGAAGUCCGUCUGAAAAGGCAAACACUUCUUACGUGAUGCUGGCUUGGUUGCUAGGUGAGUCAGCCUAGUGAUUUUUAUGUUUAUAACUCUAUUAUAAGUAAUCUGGUGCAUGUAUUUAAAAGUAAGUAUGCUAAAUCAAAUAGAAAAAUGUCUUAUAUUUAGACUUAAUAUGUUACUUAUAAUUGUUCUUCACUUGUUUUCAAACAUGUAGGGGGAGCGUUGUGUGCUGUAGUGGAUAUGUUAUUUAUUGUGAUGGUUUGUAAACGUAAGGGAUAUCUAAGCUUAUUAAAAACGAGGAUCUUCAAGAACACAAGAAUAGUUAUUGACCACGAUAUUGAGGAUUUCAUAAAAAGAUAUAAUUUGUCAGUGCCUAAGCGGUUUAGUUAUGCAGAUGUGAAAAGGUUCACAAACUCGUUUCGAGAUAAGUUGGGCCAAGGAGGAUAUGGUGUUGUUUACAAAGCCAGUUUACCUGAUGGCCGUCAUGUAGCGGUGAAAGUGAUAAGCGAGUGCAAGGGAAACGGAGAAGAAUUUAUAAAUGAAGUUGCAAGCAUAACAAAAACAUCACAUAUGAACGUUGUUUCACUUUUGGGUUUUUGUUAUGAGAAGAACAAAAGAGCAUUGAUAUAUGAAUUCAUGUCCAAUGGAUCAUUAGAUAAGUUCAUAUACAAAAGUGGAUUUCCAAAUGCUAUUUGUGAUUUGGAUUGGAACACAUUAUUCCAAAUCGUAAUUGGCAUUGCUCGAGGUCUAGAGUAUUUACAUCAAGGUUGUAUUUCAAGAAUUUUGCAUCUUGAUAUCAAACCUCAAAACAUUCUUUUAGAUGAAGAUUUUUGCCCAAAAAUAUCUGAUUUUGGUCUUGCUAAAAUAUGUCAAAAGAAAGAGAGUGUUGUGUCCAUGCUUGGGACAAGAGGAACUAUAGGCUACAUAUCACCGGAAGUAUUUAGUCGAGCUUUUGGUGCAGUUUCUUCUAAGUCUGAUGUAUACAGUUAUGGCAUGUUGAUUCUUGAAAUGACCGGAGGAAAAAAGAAUUAUGACACUGGCGGGUCUCAUACAACCGAAGCAUACUUUCCGGAUUGGAUAUUUAAGGAUCUUGAGCAAGGUAAUUCCCUUUUAAAUAGUUUGGCAAUCUCAGAAGAAGAAAAUGAUAUGCUAAAGAAGAUUACUAUGGUGGCUUUGUGGUGUAUUCAAACGAAUCCAUCAGACAGACCAUCAAUGAGUAAAGUAAUAGAAAUGCUGCAAGGGCCACUUCAUUCAAUACAAUAUCCUCCAAAGCCUAUCUUAUUUUCUCCAAAAGUGCAAUCUUUAUCUUUAUAAAUCUCAUCAGAUAUGUCUACUGGUAAUUUUUACUACUCAAAUCCAAUUAUCAUAGAGAGAGAAUCAAAUAUGUUCGACAAAAGCAAAAAUGUUAUGCAAUUGUAGUAUGAGGCCUGAGGCGUGUAUCUUUUAUAUGUUUUGACAAUGUUGGUUCAUGAAUACAUUCUUUGCAAGUCCUCUUGUAUUAACCAGUCUCUUUAAUGUCGUCUUGAUUUUUUCAAUCAAUUAAUAAUAUUAUGUAUUGAUUUGUAUUAAGUUCUAUAACUGGCACACCAUCUUUUUUUUUGUCAAGUAGUUUAGUGGCUAGAGCUCACACAAUUUAAUUAUGGAGAAGUGGAGUAUCCGGGGUUCGAACCUCGACUCCUGCAUAUAAUAUGCAAUAUUCCUACCAACUGAGCUAAACUCACGAAAAUAACUGACACACCAUCUCACAUCCACCAAACAAACAACUAAGUCUAACAGAAAAUUCUGGAAUCUCCUUUGUUUUCAUUACAAUUCCAAAACAUCAAUUUAUAUACAUCUAUAAAAUAUUAUCCAACAAUAGAUACACUGCUCAUACACCAGUGUUUCAUGUAUUCAAACGGAUAGUGGCUACAUAAGUAGCAUUUCAAAAUAUAUACCCCUAUAUAUACAACCCCAAACUAGCAAACAACUACUAACCAAAAUAGUUGGUAUUAUUCUGAAAAUGGGUUUUAAGGAUUUGGCAGCCUUUAAUGUGGCGAUGCUUGGUAAACAAGGGUGGCAACUACAAACUAAACCGGAUAGUCUUGUCUCAAAAAAUUUCAAAGCUACGUAUUACCCAAAUAGUAAUUAUCUAGAUGCUAAGCUGGGAACAUAACCCUAGUUUUGUUUGGCGAAGUAUUCUCAGCGUCAAACUGGUGGUUAGACAAGGAGCUCGUUGGAAAAUUGGUGCGGGAUUCGAUAUUCCCAUCAUUAGCGAGCCAUGGAUUGGCUCAGGUUCCAGUAUUCCACCCGUUGGUGAUGAUAUGUUGGCCCUUCAACCAUAUUCAGUUGGUAAUCUAAUUGACCAAGAGCGCAAAGUUUGGAAUGAACCAUUGGUCCGUCAACUUUUUGCAGUAGAAACGGCCAAUAACAUCCUGAAUACUCCUCUGCACCAUCAGGUCGAGAGGGACAAACUGAUUUCGAAGGCGGAGAAAAAUGGCCAUUAUUAUGUGAGAAGCGCAUAUCGUAUCUGCAUAGAAGAAGUCAUCAACAAUGACCAUUUGCGCAAACCAGGGUAUUGGAGUGACAUCUGGAGAUUAAAAGUCCAUCCCAAAGUCAAGAACUUGGUAUGGAGAAUCUGUAGAGAUUGUUUGCCAACUCGUGUGAAACUACGAAGUAGAGGUGUUAACUGCCCCUCAGAAUGUGUCAGGUGUGAUGACCCCCAUGAAGAUAGUUACCAUUUGCUGUUUCAUUGCCCGAUAACAGUUAAUAUAUGGCAGACUGCAAAUCUUUGGCACUUGAUUGCCCCAUCUAUUCACCAAUUUGAUAAUGCUCCUGAUAAUAUUGUUACCAUAAUGUGGAGUAUAAGGAAAGCCAGGAAUAUGAAGCUUUGGCAACAAGUGUCAGACUCGACUUUCACCAUUUUGGAAAGAGCAAAACAUCUUCUAGAAGGCUGGCGAAGUGCUAAUCGCAAUAAAUCCCUUUUAAGGCAUGAUAAUUAAGUUUCCACAUUGAAUGCUCCUCAGCAUAAUGGGGACACGAAUGUUCGAUGGAGGAAGCCGAGUAUUGACAGAUAUAAAUGCAAUGUUGAUGCAUCCUUUCCAAACAACUCCAACAAAGUAGGGUUUGGGAUGUGCAUCCGAGAUUCUGAUGGGAAUCAUGUCCGGUCUAAAACCAUGUUUUUCUCUCCAGGCUGUUCUAUUGAUGUAGGGGAGGCCCUGGGUCUACACCACGCAAUUCGGUGGAUACGAGAACUUCAACUUACAAAUGUUGAUUUUGAAGUUGACUCUAAAAGAGUAGUUGAUUAUUUCAACAAAGGCCGUGGAGAUGCUACCGAAUUUGGUUCUAUUAUGGACAACAGUAUUUACUUUUCUAAUACUUACUUAACAAACUCUCAUGUCGAGUUUAUUAGGAGGCAAGCGAAUGAGGUUGCACAUACACUAGCUAGGGCAGCCACAUCUAGUACUAGCUUCCAGGUCUUUGAUGAUAUUCCUGCAUGUAUUACUGAUUUGAUCUUUAAUGAAAUGAUAUAAUUUACUUUCUCUCAAAAAAAAAAAAAGUUUCUAUUAUUAUUUUUGCCUUUUCUUGUGACCUUAUGUCCUCGACAUGCAUUCAAACUCAUAAUGAAUUAGUUUAAUUUUUAGCACUUUUAAUCAUAAUGAAUUAUUUUCUUCUUGGUAUCAUCAAACUCAUAAUAUUCCAACUCUUAUCAAUUAUCAUACAUAUACUAUUGCCAUGAACAAUUUUGUUUUACGUUUUUAUUUGUUUAUCCUUGUCAUUAAGUUCUGCUGCUCAAUAUGAUUAUUUCUUCAUGGUAAUGCAGUGGCCAUUUUCUUACUGCAGGCAAAAUAAAUUAUUGUGUUCAUAAACCAAAUAGGUUUAACAUCCAUGGGAUGUGACCUCAAAACAAUGUCAAUCCUUCGCCACGUCAAUGCUCUACAAAUCACAUAGUGUCAAGCUUAACCGAAUGCAUGAUUUCUACAACAAUAUCGGCUGACCUUCCUAUUUCACGGCCCCAUCUAGUAGGAAAUGAUUUGAUCUUUUGGAAACUGGAGCGGUGCCAACAUAGAACCUGUUCAUACUCCCACCCUUAACCAUACCCAGUAAUUCGGUCUAGCAAAUUAUAUUUGGAAGAAGUUGCAAGAUUUUGAUAUACAAAAGGUAUUUCUCCAACACCUCCUUCAAACCUCAUAGGAAAAGAAGGCUUGAAAAUUCUAUAAGUAAAUACAUUGUGGCUUUCAUUGUCCUUCCAAUGAGCUAUUAGAGAUUAGGUUGUGUAGAAACUAGCAAUCAUGCUGGGAACCAAGAAAUGUACAAUGACGAGAAACUGUAGAAAUUCAUUGAAAUGAAUUUCAUAAUAUUGUAUUUUUAAUAAGCAAGUAAUAUUAAUUGAUAAAUAAAGCAAAAAAUAAAGGACAUGGCGGAUUAGGAAUUUCGUCGAAUGUUGUCUUCUAAAUUAGUUGCUGAUAACAUAUCAUCUAAAUUAUUUAACCUUGUCGCAACCUGUACAGCAAAGGGCCGACGGUAUUGCACCAUGAAAUGAACACUUGGUUAGUUAGAAGCAGUUAUAAGUCAAUUACUUGCGUAGCAAGUAAUCGGCUAAGGUAGUUAGAUUUGGCUAUCCAAUACAUGUUGUACAUCAUAAGCUAACACAGAGAACAACUUUUGUACAUAUACCUCUUGUAACAGCUUCAAUAAUCAAUGAGAGUCAUUACUUUUCAUUCAAUUCUUUCAACUCAUAAUAGACCACACUGUCAUGGUAGAGAUGCACAAGGUAUAUACCAAUAUGAUUGAUUUUUGUAUCAUACAUUUAUCUCUUAUAGAUGAAGAGUGUGAUAUCAUUGUACAUUUUGAUGAAUAUUUUCUCUUCUAGUGGAGAGGCCACUGGUUUGUUGUUGGAGUUUUUUUUACUAGUAGCACCAAAUACUCUCUGACUCACCAAAUACUCUCUUUCAUAUAAGUUUAUGAAAGUGGUAAGACAUGUCACGAUGUUACUUCAUUUUAAUUUUUUGACUCAACACAAUAUUACUUCAAUGAACUAUGGAAAGCCCUCUUUCCAGAAAAAACAAUUUUAAUUCUACUUAUGCAUUUGGAGUUUGCAUAUGUAAAUUUUUUGUUAUUGGAAGACUUGAUUUUGUUUGAAGGUACAUAAAGAUUUGGUUAAAAGAUAUUUUCAGCAAUCAACUGGCAAAAGGUGGAAGGAAAAUAUACUUUUGAAACGACUUCUAUGACCCAACUUUGGUCAAAAGUGAAAUAAUCCGUGGGGUUUAGCAUGCACAAGGGAAAGAUUUGUGCACGAUGCAAAAUUAUUCCUAAAUUAAAUCUGGACCGUUUAUUUAUUAUUAUUUUAAUGUCGACGAUUGAGAUUUGUUUGGAUGGAGUAGUGGGUGAUCUGCUGCCUUAAAGGGAGAGAGAGCAUGUGGGUCCCACGCUGGACCAACCCUUUUGAUUAAAUCUGAAUAUUUUAUUGCAUUUUCUUGAGCAAAAUUUUUUUAUGGGCUAAAUAUAUAUUGAAUGAUGAAUGUAAGAUUGUUUUUGAAUGAUGAAUGUAUAAUUAUAAAAUAUAAAAUAUGUUUUGUUGUUCUAAUAUAAUAUUAGUAAUGUUUAUUUAUAUUUUAAGUCAAUGAUGAAUGAUUGAAUUAUGAGAAAUUAUGCUAUCAAAAUUUUUCAUAAAUGUUUAGUUUAAUCGGUUAAUUUUUAGUUUGCAGGAGAGAUGGUUGCAUAGUAUAGUAUAGACUCAUACCUUAGAUUCACUAAAGUAUUAUCAAUUGUACAGUUGAUAGAAGGAAACUACGUAGAAAGUGAAAUAUAUUAAUAAUAUUAAGAUGUAACAUUGAAAUAACAAAUAAUUAGAUUUUAUUUUAUUUGAAAAUCAAUAUUUUUGCAUGUUAUUGAUUGAAAUAACAUGCAAAACAUUACCCCGGGACCGGUGAAAGGUCGUGGGUAUAUCCUUUGCUGCGUGCCUCUCCUAUAUAGGUGGUUUAUUUCUCACCUUCCGAGCUCCUUCCAUGACAACUCGGAGGAUUGGUCCUACUCACAGCGGAUGAUGGCUCUCUCUCCUAACGAGGUGGUCUGGAUCACUCCCGCCGCCCAGGUUAAGGAAAUUAUUACUGGUUGUGGAGACUUUCUCAACGUACCUCUUCUUGGUACCCGUGGGGGAAUCAACUACAAUCCUGAGCUUGCUAUGAGAUAGUUUGGGUUCCCAAUGAAGGCAAAGCCCAUCAAUCUUGCUACAUCUCCAGAGUUCUUCUACUAUUCGAACGCCCCCACCGGAUAAAGGGAGGCUUUCAUAGGGGCUUGGUCUAAGGUCCGUAGGAAGAGUGUGAAGCAUUUGGGUGUGAGAUCUAGUAUUGCUCAUGAGGCCUAUACUCAGUGGGUAAUAAACCGAGCUGAAGAGAUUGGUAUGCCAUACCCUGCUAUGAGAUAUGUGUCNNNNNNNNNNNNNNNNNNNNNNNNNNNNNNNNNNNNNNNNNNNNNNNNNNNNNNNNNNNNNNNNNNNNNNNNNNNNNNNNNNNNNNNNNNNNNNNNNNNNUUCCUUUUUUAUAAAUAGCAUUAAAAAUAAAGCGUAGACAUAAACUAAGAGAACGGCUCCUAUAGAGUACUAUAGUCACCGCGGGUGCCUAACACCUUCCCGUAGUGAAAACGACCCCCGAACUUAGAAUCUAAGGGUUUUUUCUUAAUUUUGCCCUUCCCAAGAAAAAAGAGAGAAUAUCAAAGAUUGAAAGGUUCAAGCCGAAUUAAUGACUUGACACCCGAAAAUCGCGAUAACAACAUUUUUCUCACUAAAUCUUCAUUUUUAAGCUCCCUAUUUAUCUUUUUAAUCUAAAAAUUGUCCCAGUACUCUCUAAAAACAUCCAGGCACUCAAAACCAUCCAACUUACAUCUUAAAACAACAAUUUGAAAAUCAUGAUCUCUCACUCACUUACUCGCUAUGGCGGGUGGUUUUGCUCGCAGGGCGAGCGAUGAAGAUGGCUCACUCGCGAGGUGAGACAAGCUACUCGCGGGGGCGAGCGAUGAAUAUCCUGUACGGGCACAAUACAAGUUUUUUCCAAAAAUCCCAAUUUUCUCAAUUUCAAUUCCCAAAACAGUUUACAGAUGUAUAAUAAAUUGCUGUCUACAACCUGAAUGCAUUCUAACACUAUUACCAAGGUUCCUACACUCUUUCAAUCCAAAAUCAAAGAAUUAAAAUCUAAACCUUAAUCCCCAAUUUCUACUAUAACUAUGCUAAACCCAAAAAUCAGAAUUACAUAACCAUCAUUAUUGAGAGAUAGUCUCACCCUUACCUUAAUUUGAUGAACAAAACUCUCCAAAAGUCAGAAUCUCCCUUCUAGGCUCUUCCCUUGGUUUUUCUCCCAAAAACUCUGUUGUACGUGAAAUGCUUCUGACUGACAGUUUCUAUUUUUUUUUUAACUGAAUGUAACCUCCCAAUAUUACUUAACUCCUCAUAAAUUCUAAUAAUUCUUAAUUAACCCCCAAAACUCCAAAUAAUUAUAAUUCCCACUUAAACUAUUAAAUACUACAAUAAAUCAUUUAAUAAAAUAUAACACACCACAUAAUCAACAAUAAUUAUUUAAAAUCAUAUAAAAGACUCUAAAUAAAUCAAAAAUAAUUAAAAUAACGACUAGGGCGUUACAACUCAAGCAAAUAACUCUAGAUAAGACUCCAACAUCUUACUCUCCAGUUCCCAUGUUAGACUUUCACCAGUUACUCCUCCCCAAACAACCUUCACUAGAGGUAUAUCUUUGCCUCUCAACUUCUUCACCUCACGGUCUUCGAUUCUCAACGGUAAGGUCUCAACCCUAAGGUUGUGUCUAACCUGCACAUCAUCUCUUGGAAUCACAUGCGAAGGAUCCGCUGCAUACUUCCGAAGUUGCGACACAUGAAACACAUCAUGCAAAUUCGAAAGAUGUGGUGGCAAACCCACCCUGUAUGCCACUGUUCCAACUCUCUCAAAUAUCUGGUAUGGACCAAUAAACUUCGUAGUCAACUUCAUAAACUUCAACACACGACCUACACCCGUCAUAGGAGUGACUCUCAGAAACACAUGAUCUCCCUCUUGAAACUCAAGGGCCUUUCUUCGCUUGUCAUGGUAACUCUUCUGUCGACUCUGCGACGCUUUCAUCUUUUCUCUUAUCAUCUUGACCUUCUCCGUAGUCUGAUGAACUAAAUCUGGUCCCAACACUACACUUUCUCCCGACUCAAACCAACACAAUGGAGUUCUGCACCUCUGACCAUACAAAGCUUCGAACGGUGCCAUACCAAUACUCGAAUGGUAACUGUUGUUGUACGUGAACUCUAUCAACGGUAGAUGACUAUCCCAAGCUCCACCUUGCUCAAGUANNNNNNNNNNNNNNNNNNNNNNNNNNNNNNNNNNNNNNNNNNNNNNNNNNNNNNNNNNNNNNNNNNNNNNNNNNNNNNNNNNNNNNNNNNNNNNNNNNNNNNNNNNNNNNNNNNNNNNNNNNNNNNNNNNNNNNNNNNNNNNNNNNNNNNNNNNNNNNNNNNNNNNNNNNNNNNNNNNNNNNNNNNNNNNNNNNNNNNNNNNNNNNNNNNNNNNNNNNNNNNNNNNNNNNNNNNNNNNNNNNNNNNNNNNNNNNNNNNNNNNNNNNNNNNNNNNNNNNNNNNNNNNNNNNNNNNNNNNNNNNNNNNNNNNNNNNNNNNNNNNNNNNNNNNNNNNNNNNNNNNNNNNNNNNNNNNNNNNNNNNNNNNNNNNNNNNNNNNNNNNNNNNNNNNNNNNNNNNNNNNNNNNNNNNNNNNNNNNNNNNNNNNNNNNNNNNNNNNNNNNNNNNNNNNNNNNNNNNNNNNNNNNNNNNNNNNNNNNNNNNNNNNNNNNNNNNNNNNNNNNNNNNNNNNNNNNNNNNNNNNNNNNNNNNNNNNNNNNNNNNNNNNNNNNNNNNNNNNNNNNNNNNNNNNNNNNNNNNNNNNNNNNNNNNNNNNNNNNNNNNNNNNNNNNNNNNNNNNNNNNNNNNNNNNNNNNNNNNNNNNNNNNNNNNNNNNNNNNNNNNNNNNNNNNNNNNNNNNNNNNNNNNNNNNNNNNNNNNNNNNNNNNNNNNNNNNNNNNNNNNNNNNNNNNNNNNNNGUCUCUAAACUGUUCAAGCAACUCAAACUCUUUUACCAUCAUAGCAGACAUGUGCAACGUCUUCCUGCUCAAAGCAUCUGCAACUACAUUAGCUUUACCCGGAUGGUAAUUUAAACUAAAAUCAUAGUCCUUCAAUAAUUCAAGCCAUCUUCUCUGCCUCAUAUUCAAUUCCUUUUGGUCAAAAAAAUAUUUCAAACUCUUGUGAUCACUAAACACCUCAAAUCUAGAGCCGUACAAAUAAUGUCUCCAAAUUUUCAAAACAAAAACCACCGCAGCCAACUCCAAAUCAUGUGUAGGAUAAUUCUUUUCAUGAAUCCUCAACUGUCUAGAAGCAUAAGCUACCACUUUGCCAUCUUGCAUCAAUACACCACCUAAGCCCAACUUGGACGCAUAAUAAUAAACAACAAAAGUUUCAUCUGGCUUUAGUAAAAUUAAAAUUGGAGCAGUAGUCAACCUUCGCUUCAAUUCAUUGAAACUAUUCUCACACUGAGCAUACCACACAAAAGAUUUCCCUUUACAGGUCAACUUAGUCAAUGGAAGUGCUAACUUCGAAAAUCCUUCUAUGAACUUGCGGUAAUAACCAGCCAAACCCAGGAAACUUCUAAUCUCUAUAACUGACUUCGGAGUUUCCCAUUGUGAUACUGCAUCAACUUUUGAUGGAUCAACUGCAAUACCACUACAAGAAAUAAUGUGACCAAGAAAACUUACUUCACUUAACCAGAAUUCACAUUUGGACAACUUGGCAUACAACCUCUUUUCUUUCAACACUUGCAACACAAUCUUCAGAUGCUCUGCAUGCUCUUAUUCAUUCUUAGAAUAAAUUAGGAUAUCAUCAAUAAACACAACCACAAAUUUAUCCAGAUAAGCAUGGAAAACUCUAUUCAUGUACUCCAUAAACACACCAGGCGCAUUAGUAACACCGAAAGGCAUCACCUUAUAUUCAUAAUGUCCAUAUCGUGUCCUAAAGGCCGUUUUUUGCGUAUCUUCAUCCUUCACCUUAAUUUGAUGGUAACCUGACCUCAAAUCAAUUUUGCUGAACACACGAGCACCCACUAACUGAUCCAUUAAAUCAUCAAUUAUCGGAAGUGGAUAUCUGUUCUUUAUCGUCACUUUAUUCAGCUGACGGUAACCUAUACACAACCUCAUACUGCCAUCAUUCUUCUUAACCAAUAAUACCGACGCUCCCCAAGGUGAAACACUCGGUCUUACAAAUUUCUUAUCAAGUAAAUCCUCCAACUGUUUCUUCAAUUCAGCUAACUCGGACGCUGACAUACGAUAAGGUGCCAUCGACACCGGCUUCGUUCCGGGGACAAGAUCAAUCGAAAAUUCAACCUCCCUCCCUGGUGGUAUAUCGGGAAUCUCAUCAGGAAAAACUUCUGGAAAUUCAUUCACAACCGACAAUCUAUCAAUCACAGCUUGCUUCUCCAACGACAAGAAUGCCAUCAAAGAAAACAUUAAGAUUCCAUCACAUUCUAACUGCUUCAACUGUUUAUUAGUCAAGAACUCGGCUUCACUCUCUUCCUCAGCAGAAGAAAAAUGUACCGUCUUACUAAAACAAUUAAUAUGAACACGGUUAUACUCUAACCAGUUCAUCCCAAAGAUUACAUCCAUACCCGUCAACGGCAGACAUACAAGAUCAACUUCAAAGUCUCUACCAAACAUAGACAAAGGACAACUCAAACUGACAAGAGAAGUAGUUACUGAACCCUUAGCUGGAGUUUCAACAACCAUUUCUCCAUUCAUAUCAGAUAUAACCAGAGCCAACUUAUGUGCACAAUCAACAGCAAUGAAACAAUGAGUAGCACCAGUAUCUAUAAUAGCAAUUAAAGGAGUAUUAUUAAAGAAACAAGUACCUCUGAUAAGUCGGUCCUCAUUAACAGUUUGUGUACCAGUCAAAGAAAACACCUUGCCACCUGUCAGAGCCUUCUUAGGCUUCCUGCACUGUGAGCUUAUAUGACCUUCUUCAUCACAAUUAUAGCAAACAACAUCACAAAGCUUGCAAUCAGCUAAUGUGUGUCCUUUCUUUCCACACCUAAAACACUUCUUCUCAUCACGGUCACAUACAUUACUCUUGUGGCCUUUUUCACCACACUUGAAACAGACAAUCUCAGUAGGAGCAUCUCUCCUCCUAGGCCUCCUCUCAUCAUUCAGUCUCUGUUUAACUUUGUCAGCAGGAGCACUAUACGGUUUCGGACGACUCAGCUGUCCCUUACCUCUACGCUCACUCAUCACCUUAUAAUGAGCUUUUGUAUCCUCUUCAUAGAUCCUACAGCUACUCACCAAAUCAGAAAAAUUCCUUAUCUUUUGGUAGCCGAUAGCCCGCUUAAUAUAAGCACGCAUACCAUUUUCAAACUUAAUACGUUUUGAGAACUCGGCCGUCUCAGCAGUAUAAUGUGGGUAAAAUUUUGCAAGCUCCACAAACUUAGCCGCAUAUUCAGUCGCAGACAUAUCUCCUUGCUUCAACUCCAGAAAUUCAAUUUCUUUCUUACCUCGGACAUCCUCCAGAAAAUACCUGUUUAGAAACUCUCUCUAGAACACAGCCCAGGUCACAGCAGCACCAUCUUGUUCUAGAAUGGGUAAAAGACUCACCCACCAGUCAUCUGCCUCUUCGGCCAACAUAUGCGUACCAAACCGCACCUUAUGUACCUCGCUACACUACAUCACCCUGAAGACUCUCUCAACCUCCUUGAGCCACUUCUGGGCUCCAUCAGGGUCAUACCUCCCUUUGAUUGUUGGUGGAUGGUUUCUCAGAAAGGUUUCCAGCAUCCUCACACCAUCAUUACCAGCACGAGCAUUAGGCUGUUGUUGUAAAGCUUGAGCCACAGCCCCAAGUGCAGCAGCAAUAACAACAUCAUUUCUCCCUGUCAUCUCAAAAUUCUACAUAAGAAACAACAAUCAGGACAACAAAAGACAACUUUAAGCUGACACUCUACCCUACGUGGCUCAACACAACUCUACUACUUGGCCGGACGGACCAACCUGCUCUGAUACCAAUUGUAACACCCCGUCAUCCCAAUAGCAAAAUAUUAAAUAAAUAAAUCAGAGUUAAACCAUCAAACGGGAAUGUCACAUUGCUUUUCAAAAUUUCUUAAAUAGAAAAUAAAUGCUAUUUAUUUAAAAUCAACUUUGGUAAAUAACCAAUACUUUGCAGCGGAAUAUUUUUCAAUCACUUAACAUUAACAACCGACAAUAAAAUUCUGGCACCAAGGCCUCAUCAUAGUAGUCAUCAACAAUUUGUUCAACAACAAUAAAAAGGCUCCAACAACAUGUUCCAAAAUUGAUACAUAAGGAAUGAAAAUAAAAUAACUAAUUCCCAUCCCGUUACAUAUCAGAGCCCUAAGAUACUUGAGCCACCACUUCUACUACUCUUCAUCACCUACAAGGNACUUGAGCCACCACUUCUACUACUCUUCAUCACCUACAAGGUACCCAUACGAAGGGCAACAAUUCCAAGCAAAAGGGUGAGAUUCACAAACAACAAUAAUAGAUAUAUAAUUCAUCAAUUGAAUCUAACACCCUAAACAACAAUAAUACUUCAAUAUACGUAUGUAUUUCAUAAUCAACAACAUCAUCAACAUUUGACAAUUUCAAACAACAACAACAACUCAUGCAAUGACAUGACAACUCUACUACGACUCAACAACAGAAUGCGACAAUGCACAUGCAUGUGGUACCAUUUUAACGCGUUUGAUUGACAAGGCAUUCCAGGGCAUGAGCCCUCACUAAUUUGAAUGGUUAAAGCAUUCACAGGGCAUGAGCCCUCACCAAUGGAAUGAACUAGCAUUCACAGGGCGUAAGCCCUCUGCAAUUGAACGACGAGGCGUUCCAGGGCAUGAGCCCUCACCAAUUUAUGAUUAUGCAAUGAACUCCACUUGUGUAUAUCAACAUACAACUCAACAAUGCAUACAUACCGACUGCAUAAACGACGAGAACCACUACUCAACAAUGCAUAUAUGUGAAUAGGACUUACACCUCAACAAUUCAAUUAGUGAUACUUCAAUCUUUGAAAUAAAAUUCAACAACAAGUAUAAUUUAUUUAAUAUAAAUAUGCAUAACAACCAUCAAUAAUUCAUCAUACUUAAUUCAACAGCUCUAGUAAAACAACAUAAUUAAUUAUAAUCAUGGUUCUACACCAAAGUUCAAUCAACUCUAUUCAAAUACAUAGCAAACAGCUUCAGGUACUGGGCAACUCGCCUCGCGAGUACAUCUACUCACUAUGGCGAACUCCAGAAAUGGGUUACUCGCGAUGGCGAGUACGUGGCGAGCAAGAAAAAUUAUGCUCUCGGGAGUUUUGACAUUUUUCUCACUAAAUCUUCAUUUUUAAGCUCCGUAUUCAUCUUUUUAAUCUAAAAAUUGUCCCAGUCCUCUCUAAAAACAUCCAGGCACUCAAAACGAUCCAACUUACAUCUUAUAACAACAAUUUGAAAAUCAUGAUCUCUCACUCGCUUACUCGCUAUGGCGAGUGGUUUUGCUCGCGAGGCGAGCGAUGAAGAUGGCUCACUCACGAGGCGAGACAAGCUACUCGCGGGGGCGAGCGAUGAAUAUCCUGUACGGGCAGAAUGCAGGUUUCUCCCAAAAAUCCCAAUUUUCUCAAUUUCAAUUCCCAAAACAGUUUACAGACGUAUAAUAAAUUGAUGUCUACAACCUGAAUGCAUUCUAACACUAUUACCAAGGUUCCUACACUCUUUCAAUCCAAAAUCAAAGAAUUAAAAUCUAAAUCCAAAUUCCAAAUUUCUACUAGAACUAUGCUAAAUCCAAAAAUCAGAAUUACAUAACCAUCAUUAUUGAGAGAUAGUCUCACCCUUACCUUAAUUUGAUGAACAAAACUCUCCAAAAAUCAGAAUCUCCCUUCUAGGCUCUUCCCUUGGUUUUUCUCUCAAAAACUCUGUUGUACGUGAAAUGCUUCUGACUGACAGUUUCUAUUUUUUUUUUUAACUUAAUGUAACCUCCUAAUAUUACUUAACUCCUCAUAAACUCUAAUAAUUCUUAAUUAACCCCCAAAACUCCAAAUAAUUAUAAUUCCCACUUAAAAUAUUAAAGGCUACAAUAAAUCAUUUAAUAAAAUAUAACACACCACAUAAUCAACAAUAAUUAUUUAAAAUCAUAUAAAAGACUCUAAAUAAAUCAGAAAUAAUUGUGACCGGAAGAGCUGGUGCCCCUUGAUGGAAAGCACAAGAAAGGUCAGCUCUAUACCCUAUUGGCAAUCUUUUCGGCACCGGAAGAGGUGGUCUAGUUUAGAUUAGAUUCUCCUUAAGAAGUGUGGGAAACAGCUCUGCAUAUUUCACAGGGAUCAGAUCAAACCGUGGUGCUCCCUUAGCUUGAUCUUGAGCAAUAAACUGCUGAAGAGCUUGUUGUCGAGGCUGUUGUGGGCAUAGCGGCUGAUCCUGCGUAGCCAAUAGUGAAGAUACCAAGUUAGUUAACUUCUCUACCUCGGCCCGAAGUGUAGUGACCUCCUCGCGAAGCUCAUGGACCUCUUCUCCGAGUUGAUCCAUACUUUGUGUUUGCACGAGUGUUUGCAUAUGUGAGCUGAAGUCGAAUGAAGACAUCGGACCGCUUUUGACCUUUGAUGGAAAAAAAAAAAUCGGUGAGACUUGGAUUCGAAACUAUGGAAUGCGGGAUGAUGCAUGAUGUUAUGCAAAAAACAGGCACAUUUUUUUAUUUAUCGAAGGACUUAUGAAAGUAAUUUUAAACUUGAUAAGGAACAUUGUUUUAUUUGAAAGUUGUGAAGAUGUUGCAAUUGGUUCCCUUUUCAAAAGUAAGAACGAAACCAAGGAAAGAAGUUCUUAACAAAAGCUAAAGCUUAGUUAAGAUUUUUGAAGUUGUAUUUCUUGGUGUUCCUUCUUACAAAAACCAUAUCUUUGAUGUCUACAAGAACUUAUCUAAGUCCUUCGAUAUUAGUGAGAAAAAAAGUUUUUAUGAAUGCAUGCAUGUAUGCAUGAUUAUGCUACACAAAUGGUGAAAACAUGGUGAUGUUAGGUCUAUAAUGAUGGAGUCAAGGGAAAGCACGCCAUCCCUAUCUUAUGUUUCCCUCAAGCCCGGGUUAGGACUUAUCUCACCACUCACGUUAGAAAGAAGAAAGAAGAAGGAAGAACAUAUAUACAAGUAUUUCCAUCCUUUAUUUUGAUGUUUAUUUUAAGCAAGUUAUAGCACAAAGAAUUAAACAAAGCCAAGUUAGGCUCAACCCUCUUAGGGGGUCCCCAGUGAAGUCGUCAUUUCUGUCGUNUCGCUUGUCAUGGUAACUCUUCUGUCGACUCUGCGACGCUUUCAUCUUUUCUCUUAUCAUCUUGACCUUCUCCGUAGUCUGAUGAACUAAAUCUGGUCCCAACACUACACUUUCUCCCGACUCAAACCAACACAAUGGAGUUCUGCACCUCUGACCAUACAAAGCUUCGAACGGUGCCAUACCAAUACUCGAAUGGUAACUGUUGUUGUACGUGAACUCUAUCAACGGUAGAUGACUAUCCCAAGCUCCACCUUGCUCAAGUACACACACUCUCAGCAAAUCCUCUAACGACUGAAUCGUUCUCUUCGACUGACCAUUUGUUUGCGGAUGAUAAGCCGAACUCAACCUCAACUUUGAACCC